rnacentral:lncRNA from 1 species
AAAAAUUCAAAUAAAAAUAAUAAACCGUAGUUUUUAUUAUUAUUUGAGAUAAUACUCUGUAUAUACUUGCUCGUGUAUGUUAUAUUUUAUAAACAUGGAAAAGGCGUCACAUUUUUCUUCUUGGACAAUUGAUUGUAUUUUAUAUAAAUAAAUAUCUACUGCAGUAUUUUAAUAAUGGCAAAACGACUCUGAUCGAUAAAAAAACAAAAAAAAAUAAAUAAACAACAUGUAAGUACUUAGUUACACCAAGAUAAAUAUCGUCAGACUUUAUUGGAAAGUUUCCAGCAAAUAGCUAGUACUGAGCACCAGACAUUUUUCUCGGAAACGUUUAAAACCCUCGAUUUAGUGAUAUAUAUAUAUAUAUACAGAGUUAACACUCGAAACGCGUUUUUUUACCGAAUGAAAGAUUUUAUUUAGACUAUUUAAAAAUUAUAUAAAAAAAAAAAUCUUAUAAUACUGAUAGGCGUAUACUGCUACUUUUCUAUGUGGGAAUUUCGGAAGGUAUAGAAUACACACAGUUUUUUAAUUACUGUCUGAACGUAUCGAUAAAUCGUUGCCAGUUAACGAAAUUCUGAACGGAGUUCGGUUAAACAUGUUUUGAAAAUACUCGAAAAUGGCACGUGCUUUAUGUUUAAUAGCUCGAAAAGAUCCAUGAAAUGUUUUGAAAAUUUGACUACGUCUAGGAAAGUAUCCUGUGUAGGUAAUUUUUUAGUAAUUUAUUAGUUUAUGCAAUUCUAACAUUAAAUGUUAUGCGUACGUGUACGAGUCAUUGUACAAGUCUCCCAUGCAUUAUGGACUUAUAGUUUGGGAUGGAUGUGCAGAUAAUGGAAUAAAAUCACUAUUAAUGCAAAGGAACUUAACUGUUAGAUUACAUCAUCAAACUACAAAUAUUUUAAAGUACUGCCAGUUAGGGAUCUGUAUAAGUUAUCUGCUACUUUAUUGGUCUCCAACACUCAUACUUUAUCUAAACAAGUUAAUAAAAGAGAUUUUAUAGCAUAUGACACAAAUGUACGAUACACAAAUAAAGAAUUUAGUAAGAAAUUUGUAGAUUACCUAGGUCCUAUUUUUUACAACUCGUUACCAUUGAAUUUAAAAAAAAGUAUUGUUAAUUGUAAAGCGUUGAAUAAUAAUAGUAUGUACGCCAAGAAAAUUAUUAAAUUUUGGUUAUUAAAUUAAUUACUUUAAUUUUAGUGUGUGUUAUAGAUAAUUUUAAAGUUUAUGUUUUUAUUUUGUACUUGUUACAUUUAAGUUAUAUUUCUUAUUUUCCUGCAGUUUAUUCCAUAAGUUUAAAACUUGAUUUUUUUUUGUCUAGUUAUUAUUUCUUUUGUAACUCUUUUGCCCCACCACAAGCAAUGCUUAUUGGGGUCGAAAUAAUCAUAAAGUAGUUUUUCGUUGUAAACUGUACUGUUUGUUAGUAAACUUUUUGUUUUGAUUAAAAAAAAAAAAAAAAAUUUACGUCUCUAUUACGAUCACUUAUUCGCCGAAUUACAUCACAAACACAACAUUUAAUAUGAUAAAACUUUUAUCGAAGUAAAUUAGUUCUGUUUUCUGUUUAAAUAGGAAUGUACGGUUUUUCUCGAUUUUCACAACUAUAAUAAAAAAUACUCGGAAAAUUAAAACAUGACCUCCCAAACGCAUCAACUAGUUUCAAAAUGCUACAGAUCUCCUUUCGGCUUUUUUAAAAAAAAUAUUUCUAUUUUUUAUUGUAUUUAAAUAUUUCGCCGAAUGUUUCGUAAUGAAAACCGUAUUGCUUUUUGAAAUAAUCAUGGCUAAUCAUGAUUCUAGGAUAUCUAUAGGAAGAGGUUUUUCUUGGUAUAAUAUCACAAAAAAUUGACGAAAACUGACAUAAUAUCAAUGUAAUAGUAUUCCACACACGUAGUUCAGUUUUUUUAUUCGUAAACUUCCCCGAUAUUUUUUUUUUCUGUGUUCGUGCCUGAUCGUUAUCAUAUAUUAUCAGAGUACUAUCGCUUAAUGUAAACAAUCCGCCCGAUUCCGAUUACCGAUAUAUUUACGGACAUGGCUGCAAAAUACAAAUUCUAUUGACCUGACAUAAUUACAACGAUAAGCAGACGAAAACGUAUUUUAGAAAAAUCAAAAGUGUCAAUAAUUAAACGAUUAUUUUACGAUCGUAAAUUUUAAUGAAAUGCAUUUUUAAACUCUGGUUUAAAAAUAAUCUCGCAUAGUAUAAAUGCUAAAAUAGGUUUCUGCGACUUAAGGUAAUGUGACAUUUGAAUAAUGUAUAAUUAUGUCUUUGGUUAGCAAUUUAGACGGAUUUUCCCGUAACCGAUUGAUAUAUUAUAGGAUAACGAUUACAAGUUCCUGGUUUUUCUCUGUACCUAUAUGACAAAAAGUCGUGGAAAAGGGACGGUAAAAAAGCAAUAACUCAUUCAUUCAGUAAUAAUAAUAACAACAUGUAUUCGAAUAAUUUUAAGGCGUACAUAUUUUUUUUUUUUUUUAUAUAGUACCUGUAUACAUUGUAUGGGGUACAAACACGAAUCCGUAUCCUACAUUAGCGCGUUUUCCGGCGCUCGAUUUAACCGUGACCGUGGUCGUGUGUUACUAAAUCAUAACCGCGACCGUGGUCAUAGUUCAUAAUAAUAACAUAUAUUAUAAUGCGGUGUUCGGACGAUGACGGGUUUGUGAAAAAAUUUCAGCCGCCGGUCAAACGGGUCCCGUCCUCGGUAGUUCAGACGACAGUGCCGUUUAUAUCAACAAUAGUUCAGUGUGUGCCGGGAAGCCGUUACGACCGUUACGAGUGCGUCCUAUGCGUAGUUUUUUUUUUUUUUUUUUUUUUUUUUAUAGUUUAUGUAUUUGUUUAGUUCGUAUUUGUUAUUAUUAUUUUUUUUAGGUUUUUUUUUUUUCGUUUACCGUGUGAAAGUGGACAAUAUUAUAGCGAAAUGGAAAUCGAAUUGAAAAUACUUAACGCGCCGUCGCGAUAAUCGGUUUCUCGAGAGCAGUGGCCGCGGAAAUUCCGAAAUAUCGGCCAAUGUUGUAGGUUUUGGUGAGUACAUUGAACACUUCCUUUCCCCCCCCCCCCCCCCCNCCCCCCCCCGAAAAUCUAAAAACGGUCCUCAUACGUAGGUACUUUAUAAUUAAUUACUUGAGUACUUCGAGAUAUUAUUCAUACAGUUGUAUUAUUUUUCAUGACAUUUACAUGUAAACAAAAAACUUUUUGUGUGACGUGAGUUUAGGCAAUUUUCGUCCAUCUGUCAGAGUUUUCGUUAUCGCUGCGCUAUUGUUAAUACGUUUAUUAAUUUUUAAAUGUGCACGUUUUCACAAUGGAGUUUGUGUUUAUGACGAUAUAAUAUUGUGUAUAAUCGGAUACGUCCCAAUAUAAAAAUGGAUAGACAGUUUGUAAUCAGACAUGCAUGUAUAGAGACGGGGUUUGGGGUUUAACUCUUUCAAAAUUUGAAAGAAAAACCACAUCAUAUACUAGUAUAUUGUAUGGCCAAAAGUGUUUUUUUUACGUGUGAACCUCCCCCGAACACCUAACGCUUCCGACGUAUUCGUUCUGUGCACGUGCCUGACAAUAACCAGCCAUAUAUUAUCACGUAAGUAAUGUAAAAAAAUCGACCGAUUCCGAUUACCGAUAUAUCUACGGAUAUUUCUGCAAAAUACGAACUCUACUGACCUAAAAUUCUAUACGAUUACAAAACGUAUUUCAAAAAAACUAGAAAUGUUAAUAAAUAAACGUUUUUAUAGUCGUAAAUUAAUCGAACGCAUUUUAAAUUCGGAUUAUAAACAAAUCUUUUAAAGUAAAAGUUAAGAUUUACUUUCUGUUACUUAAGGGAAUUGGAUACGUGGAUAAUUUAUUUUUCGUACAACAAUUCAGAUCGAUUUUCUUGCAACCGGACCACUCUUAUAGUGAAUGAAGCGAUUAAAAAUUCUGAAAACAGAUUUGAAUUCAGCGUAAAGUGUAUUAUAUUAUGAUCAGACAUUCAGGUCACAUUUUUUUUUUUUUCAAUUGAAUUAUAGUUUUUUUUUUUUUUUCAAUAAACGUUCAAAUCUUUGAAAAUAAUUAACGAUUGAAAUUUUAAAAAAGCGGCCCGUCCAAUGUGCUAAUUUCACUAUGAAAUCAAAUCUGUUUUCAGAAUUAUUCAUAUCACUUCGUUACAAAAAACUAGAAAUAAAAUACCCGUCCACUCCCCUUAAAGUUUAUUAUUGGAUCCCGAGUGACCGUUCUAUGCCAUAUUUUUACCGUUGUCGACUGUUGUUUGCGUAUAGAUAUUCCGACCGCAGGUAUACCUAAUUAUUUAAACGUAUUUUCGAGAUUAAAUCGCGACAAUAAUAAUAUUAUUAUACUUCUUUGUCGUUGUUUUCGCAAAAAAAAAAAAUAAUAAUAAUAAAAAAAGAAAACGAUUUUCAUUCGCGGGGGUCUCCGAUACGGCGAAUAGCGAUUUAAUAAUAAUUCGGUUUUCGAUUACUGCGCGAUAUUUCUUCGAUGUUGGGUGGUCAGAUAUUAUUGUAAAAAAAAAAAAAAAAAAUUGUGAAAGUAAUCGCGUUCGCCGUUGCAGGAAUAAAAAAAAUAAUAAAACGUUCUAAUGUUAUAACGACGAUCCGCGCGUUAAUUCGUAAAUAUUACCCCGAAGACGGUAGCGCGGAUAGCAUUUAUUUUAAUCGCGAUUUCUCCUCGCAACGAGGUUCGUCGUUCUAUAAAAAAAAUAAUUCGUCCGGCGUGAAAAUUGUUUAAAACGUGAAACGUGCACAGGAACGGAGCAACCAUCGAACGCGCCCCCCUCCUAUUUGAAUUCCAAUUUAUGAAAACUCAAAGCUCAACGAUUUUUACUAUAUAUAGACAAAAUCAAAUGCGUGUUUUAGUUAUGUCGCGUCUCACUAUUAGAUUCCCUAAAUUUCAAAUUUAUUGUUUGUCAAUAUCUUUUUGACGUAACGUUUUAUAGGUUUUCAGGAUAUGUUCGUGCCCGAGGCACAGGCACAACUCGAUCCUCCCUUUCCUACGGCCAAAAAUUGCAUGUAAAAAACCACGCGGAAUUACUUGUAAAUACAUUUUUAUUAUUAUUAUUAUAAAAGAAUAUUUACAAUCUAUACUUCGAGAUAUAAUAAGCCGACACAACAUAUAUAUAUGUAUACACAAAGGAAAGAAUACAACUUGACAACAUAAGAGGAGGGAGGCCAUUCAUUGAUGUAACCCGACCAAUCGAAUUAAAUUAUCAUACGCGUACAAAUGUAAAAAUAUGUUCUAUGUCGGUCUUCUUUUUAUUUUUUUAUAAGUAUAUUGUAUAUUUUUCUUGUUCGUAUUAUGUUGUUUUCGACUGUCUAUAACCGCCAACAUAAGUAUGUGCUUAAAUGAGCUGGAUUUCUAUAUAUGAUUGUAUAUUUUAGAAUCGUGUUAAAUUACAUAAUAUAUUUGUUCGUUUUCAAUCAGAAAAAAAAUAUACUAAGUAUUCGAAUUAAAUAUACACUAACGCGCGUUGUCUGGUAAAUCGUAAUUCAAACGGCCACUACACUAUAGCCAGGACUCUGCUCCGACGGUCUGCAAUGACCAUACUCGAGGAAUAUUUCUUUUUUUUUUUCAUCGUAAAAUUAUUUAUUAUUUUGGCUCGUAUUUCAAAUCUAUUUACCGGUAUUUGUAUUUGUUGCGUGUGUGUCUAUACGAUUUGUUUUUCCUCGACAAAUUCAAUUGUUUAAAUACGAUUCAAUCAUCGUCGUCUCUGCGACACGUAUAGGAUUUCCCGCCUAGCGAACGUAUGUUUUCGUACGGAUAUUUUUUUCAGUCGAAAAAUGUAAAAAAAAAAAUAUAUAUAUGUAUUUAUUUUAAUUUCUCAAAAGAACGACUGUCGAGUGAAUUUGAUGUUAUUGUCACGACACACGAGUAUACGUAUAUAUUCGGCCUAGAUAUACAGAAAGGUACAUGUGUUUCAAUAACGUUUUAGAAAAAAGACGAACGGCACAAAUAGAUGCAGAUAAUUAAAAAAAAAAAAAAAUUCCGUGUGCGUAUCAAACAAAAAGAUAAAUGUUAUCUUGAUUGUUGUAUUCGGUUUACCGGUUAAAUUUCGACGAAUAUAUUAAUAGUGUAUACAAAUAGCGAGCAAUUAUCGAACGAUUAUCGAAUUUUCCGGGAAUCGUCUCACAAUUUCAAUAAUAUUUCGCAAAACAUAAUGUUGAUAUUACAAUAUUAUUACUAGGACACGGAUGUUGUUUCAUUCCCAACUUUUUUUCUAUCUUUUUAUUUUAUCGCUAAGUAAGUCUUAAAUAUACGUUUAAUGUGUGUACGGAUUUAAAUCUAGUAGUUUUAAGCGCGAUCGUUUGCAAUUUUGUUGAAUUUACACAUUUAUUCAACUAUCUUAGCUAUUUUCGACACUCGACAGUCGUAUAGAUAAAAUUAUACUAUAAUCGCCAGCCAUAAAAUCUUAUGUUGAUGUCUUAUUUUUAUUUUGAUAAUUUCAAGUUGGUAAGUGUGUUCAAUACAAUACAAAAAUAGUUUUGUAAAAUGUGACUGUUUGACUGUUUUAUAUUAAUCUGUUUGUUAUUCGGGUCACUCCGUGAAUUUUGAACGAUUAUGUUUUGUGAUUGUUUUGUAAAUAUGCCGAAAAUUAAGCCAGCUAUUUCCACUAUUGUAAAAAAAAAAUUGUUAUUUUUUAGUGCAAUACUGCAAUACAUUUUACUAGUUUUUUACUACUACAACAUCCGCGCAUCAUCUAAUCAUUAUUAUCCGAAGACACGUCGGAGGCGCAGAGUGCACGCAGGUGUGCCACGACCCUUGGGCUCAAAACGACAUUUACAUCUAUUGUAGACUUUGUUUAAUAAAAUGCUAACCUCCGUUAGGUACGGUUAACAGUUGUCAUUAAGUAACCGAUAAAUAACCGACCCACCGGCAACCACUAAAUGCGAUAUUACUGCCUUAGGUUCGAGGUUUAUCGCGUCAUAGUGAUAAUGUUAAUCAUUUUAUUAAAUUUGAAACGAUGACAUAAUAAUUUAUUUGCAUGAAAAAAUAUCUGAUAAUUUUGCUUUACGGUUAUCCGUAUGCGUCGAUAUGGUUAUUUUAAUAAUGUUUUUCUGAAACACGACUACCUAUAUGUAGCUAUAGGUAGUAAACUGCAGUCUGAUGACAUUUAAUAAAUUAAUAUUUCGCCUAUUUUGCCGUCUUUUUUUUUUUUUUUCGUAAUGUAAAAUCCGUUUUUUUUUCGGGCGAGUAGAGUUCUCUUUUGCGUGCCAUACUGGAGGUAUGGCACGCAAAAGAGCCCCUUACGUACGCCUAUAUGCUCGAAAUAAUCGGUCCCGGGAAAGCUCGCAAAUAUCAAAUUACGUCUAUGUAGGUAUCAUUGCCGGUGCAGUUAUAAUACAAUAACAAUAUCCCGCAUCCGUGUAGAACACCGCCACCGUACCGGUGCAAAUUAAUACGAAUUUAACCGCAUUUCUCGUCUGCGUCGUAUGCGUAGGUAUAGCGGUACUUUUCCGCGGCUACACCUUAUUAUUAAAAACACAUUUUCUUCGCGUGUACUCGGCGUGACGUUCGUCGAAUCCGCCUAAACGACAAAUCACAAAUCCAAUAAUCGAUGUUUCUCGACGUAAAUUGAUGUAUUUUUCGUGCCAGACUUCUCGUCUUGUGGUAUAAUUAUUUUUCACACGGUUCCGGCGUACAAACCGAAUAUAUAGUAAAGGUAUACGAAUAUUAUUUACGCGAUGGUAUUAUAGGUAUAAUAAUACUAAAUUCUGUUAUUGGGUUUUUUUUUUUCUAUGUUAGAAAGUGAAGCAUUCAUAUACACCGGUUUGUAAUUCGCGACCACCUAAAUAUACGUAAAAAUUGUCCUCUUGUAUCCAGUAGCGGUUUUUGAACUUUUUUCUGGAGGUUGGGAGAGAUCCUUUGAUAUCAACUCACAAUAUGUUUAACGUACAACAAAUAUUUACCCGAUACUUAUUAAUUUAUUAACUAAUGUAUUAUUUGUUUACUUAUCUACAUGAAUGUAUACCUAUGUUGUUUCCAUCAACAACAAAGUUUAAAUUUAAUUUAAAAAUUAUAACACAAAAUUUACUUUUCGUUAUCUAAACAUUGAAUCUGGGGAUGUUGGUUAGACUCCCUGGACCCCCUCACCGUUAAACAGCCGCUGUCCCUAUCAUAAUAUAAUAGUUUGUACUUGAGGGACGGGAAGGGUGUCAUUGAACUAUUGGGUUUUGAUACGACGUAUACAUUUUAAAUUUCAAUAAAAAAUCGAUUUUUCAAAUUACUAAAUCAUUUUAGUCAAUUUUUGCCCGACGGCGAGCGACGAUUUAAUUUAAACUUCCAUCCAUUUGUAUUCAGGCUUACCUGCAGUACUUACAUUUAUUUUUAGAAAUCAAAUAUCCGCUUGCGACAAACGUUUGUCGUUUGUUCGUACGUCUAUAUGUAUGUAGAUAAUAAUAUAUAGGUUGGUGUACGCUAUUUAAUGUAAACCGGUAAUUCGAGUUUCCCUGCGAUUUUAUUAUAUUAAACGGCGCGCUCCGCAGCUGAUACAUGAAAAAUCGGCUAAAGGUACGAGUAUUUUUUAUUAUUAUUAUUACUUCUUUUUUUUUUUUAUUGUUCUAUACUCGACUCGUGUAUAAAAAUAUAAAAUAAAUCGUAUACAUCAGUGCCGACCGCGCGAUACGUUUGAAUCGCAUUAUCUUAUUUUAAAUUCAGAAAACGAUCUGUGAUGUGGAUAAAAUAAACGUGAACGUACAACGAAACGAACACGCAUAUUGUAUUCAUAAUAUACAUGCAUGGUAUAUGCAUUACAAAUACGAAUAUAGUCGAAUAAUUUUAUACGACUUUCGCAUGAUAUUAUAUCGAUUUAAUUAUUCUGUACCGCCGAAAUUAUUUAAAUAUAUUUUUAACAACGCUCCUAACUAACGAAGGUAUAUCUACACCGAUUUUGAAAGAAAAAAAAAAUAUAGGUAUAAAAAAAUUCUCGUCAGUUUUCACGACAUAUUUUAUGCAUUAAAUUCGUCGAUUGUAAUCGAUCCGUAUCUAUCACAGACCUAUUAUAAUUAAUAACUAAUGGACUGCGUCUCGACUGUACUUGAGUACAAAUUAGUCAUAAUGUAGUAUAUUAUAUUAUAUACUCCGAUCGCACCUAUAUUAUUAUAGUACAAGCUUUGCCCGUGCACGGUAUUAAAAACGCGUCUCCUCGUGACUCUCCGUUCCCAUCCCGUAUACUUAUCGCAGUUAACCGUUAUUGCCCGGCAAUUUGUUUUGUUUUUUUUUUUUUUAAGAUACUUCUUUGUCCGUGAAAACCAAAUUAACUAAUAAUAAUUGUUUUGUUUUUUUCAUCCGUAUCGCCCAAUUACCAAUAAAUCAACAAAAACAGUGCGAUUUAGCCAUCGUUUAGAAGUUGAAUAUGAGGGGGGGGGAGAGUAGCCUAUAUAAUAUUGCAGAUACAAUCAUUGUGAAGAUUAAACGCUUAUUGCGUAUAUAUUGUUAUAAUAUCAAUUACUAAUAAAAGAUAUUAUGCCGAUUAGAGAGAGAGACAGUUACUAAUUACUCGUCAUCACCAUAAUUCUAACAGAAAUGUUGGAUUAGAGCCUAUAGUACCUACAGAUGUACAUUCAAUUGCCGUCUAUAUCCUAACUUCCCAGCUUCUCGCCUAAAACAGUGACUGCACGUGGGUACGUGCGAAGUAUGUCAGUCUUUUUUAAAUUUUUAAAUAGUUGGCUUUUUUAUCUAAAUACUAAAUUAGAAACCACAAAUCUCUAUAAAUGGCAUUAUUAUUUAAGUAUAGUUAUAAAAUUAACCAUAAGCAAAGUUAAAAUGUUGUUGCCCAUGGGCGUCAAAAUCAUAAUACGGCCCUUUAAACACCUGUUUAGAUAUUUUAAUACGUUAAAUUUAUGGUAUAUAAUUAUUGUGCAACGCAGUUUAUACAAAUUUAACUUACAUUACCAUGGUAUUCGAUGGUAUAUGGAGAGUCACUACAAUAAAAUAAAAAUAUUGUUUUCCAUUUGUACGUUUUUUCUGCACUGAAUAUAAAACUAUUAAAUUCAUUUGAAAUUCUUAAUGUUCUAUAUAUACGUGUACGUGUUUGGAAAUCUAAAAAUAUUUGAAUAAUACAGUUUUUUUUUUUAAUUGGUUUUUUUUUUUCUUAAGCAGUAGAUUUUUACGAGCGAUGAUAAUAUUUUAACACUGCUAUUAUUACAGUGAAAGCUUGAGCAUUUACUUGGAAUAUUUUAACCAUCUCCAUAGCGAUUAUAAAAGAAAUAUUCCUAGUAUACAUUUCUAUACGAGUUGCUCGACUCCUGUUUGUAAUUUUGUAUGUACUAAGGAUGAUGAUUCUUUGAAUGGUAGCUUUUAAAAAUGCACCCGUUAUUUUACGUUUACUUUCAUAGAAAAUGAACAAAUCUAUUUUUUUCCAAUCGCUUUAACAAAAAUAAUAAAUUUACGUGAAAGCCUCUCACGCUACUUGUACCUAAAUAUGAUAAUCAUAAUAUUUUAAAAACCUAAGAAAUUCCAAAAUAACAACGCUCGUCCGACCGAAAAGUAAACCUUUCAACGUUGUUUUAAUACCUACCCCAUGUUAUACAACACAGAAUGUUAUCGAAUAUUCACGUUGAUGCUUUUUUCGUGUAUCGUGUUUGUAAUCGCGUGAUGUAUAAAACGGAUUGCGAGUACUUAAAAUUAUAUUUAUCUUGCCGAAAACGUAAAACAUUUCAUAAUUUUAUACAGUUUAUACGCAGACAUGAACGUCCCCUCGCAAAAGGGAGGGUUGGAUUUGUCAGGUAAAUCCAUCCUUUGGCCGCUUUUUUUCUUUUUCUUUUUUUUUUUUACUACACUGUACAGCUAUUAAUUUUACAGUGAUAUGGUUUUUUUUGACAGUAAAUAUGAAUAACAUUUUUCAUGUAGCUAUUUAUGGUUUUUAUACACAUAUGUAUAUAAUAUUUAUGUAUGUAUAAAUAGAGAAUUAUCGUACAUAGAUAAUGGUAUUUUAUAAGAGCAGUUUUUUUUCCAUUUCGAAUAAAACGUUUUCUUUACUUACGUGCAAUAUAUUUUAUAUUUUAAAUCAAGUGCAUCAAAAAUCACUGCUAUAUUAUGCGCGUUUAUUACCCACUGUUCGACCCUACAGUGCAAUUUGAUCAUCAGCACUACUCGAGGAAAUUAACUUUAGGUGUAGUGAACCCUCUUAUGUUCUAAAUUAACAACCCACUCGAAAAUUAGCUAAAUUUAUAUGUAAAUUUCUCGUUCAAAGUUCCUACUAUCUGUAUGUGGAGCGAAUAAGAGUAAAGUGGUCAUAUAUAUAUAUGAGUUUUCUCCGCUGUGUGGCGCUGCAAUCACGUGGGAACCGGACAUAGUGGUGGUACUGUAGAUGUAAAAUUUCCAGAUACUGGCCAUUUUAUCCGACCAAAAUAGACAGAUAAAAAUAGAUAAUGUGGCUACUUUUUUGUUUUAUUUUUAUGCCCGAAAUUAACAUAUUAAAAUCAAACAUAUUUAAAAAAAUUAAAAAAAUAGUUUAUUCAAUUUAAGAGGUUAUAGGUUGCUAUUUGUAUAUUAUUGUAUAACUUUUUUGAUUAAAAAGUGUAUACAAAUUCGUUGAACCGUAAGUUGGCCAUUUUAUCCAUCCUUCUCAUACCUACCUAUCGGUUUUAUUUAAUCUAAGUUCCUUUGCGCGUCCCUUCUUCACAAGUUUAUAGUAUCUCCACUUUUAUAAAGUAUAUUUUGAUCGAGUGUGUGCAUAAAUUAUUGUUGUAUAAUAAUUUAUAAUUUAUAAUGUUGUCUAUACAAGUUGAAGUGGUAUUUUUUUUAUUAGAAUAUACUUUAUACUAACAUCCAUUCUUAUCACAGACAAUAAUGUAGUGUAAAACAUACUACAAUAUGGACAGUUUUUUUGUUAGACGGGGAUAUUAUAGCCGGAACGCUUGGUUUCACUUUGCUAACAUCGUAAUAUUAUCAUAUCCGUCUAUUCCCCUUCCCAUUAAAAAUUUCUAAGAACCUCUGCAUACAGAUGUAAUACAGACUCGUUUAAUAUUUAAAAUAGAGACAUCAAAACUCGCGAUGAACGUCGUUUCAUGGUCUAGUAAAUUGACAGGGUACAAUUUUAGUAUCAUGUGAUGCUGAUGCUUGGCAACAAUAUGUAAUUAUACGGAAUAAAAAAUAAAUUAUCUUCUCGGUUUUCGUACAUAGGUAGACAGGUAUGUAGGUUUUAGUACGAGCAAGUUAUAAAUAAAUCCUCUCGGAUGUCGGACGACAUUAUACGAAUUUGAAAUACCACUCGGACACGAGUUUCUCGCUCAAAGACAUUAUUUUUAAUAAUUAACAUUGUUGUUUUUUUUUUUUUUUACUUCAGAUUUAAAUAAUUAUACAACCGGACAGCAUUUAUGAUAAUUUUACUUAUACCUAUGUGCGUGUUACAUGUAUUGAUAUAAAGUAAAUUUAAUGAUGAAUUUAAAAAAAAAAACUGACCCUAUAUGUUUUAGGUAUGCGCAUAAUGCAUCGAACAUUAAUAUUCGGUUUAAAUAUACAUGUAUAUAAACUUAACAUAUCUCGGACAGUUUAAACGCUUUGUGUUUGUAAUUUAUAAUAUAUGUAUGUGUAUAAUUUUUAAUUAUAAAAGUUAAUGCGUAAUCAAAAAGUUAUAUUAGUUUUAGUGUGUUGUUUUUUUAUCUUAGUAAAAACGCUCACAUUUUUUUUACACAAUACCUUAAACGAUACAGAUUUUCCGCCCGGUUUUACUUUAUUUGUAAAUGCUUCUCGACACGUUAUUGUCUAAACAAUUUAAUAUCACUAUAUGUAUCCUACCUCCCCUGCGCUCAACAUACAAUCACUGACACAUUCGUCUGCAAUAUCCGCCAUUAAAAAAAAAAAUAAUAAUAAUAAUAAUAAUAUUAUAAUGGCUGCCUUGUGGAAUUUUAGUAUUUGAUGGUUAUAACAUUAUUAAUAUUAUUGUUAGGUACGUGUUAUAUAAAUUAUUGUAAAUAUAUUAUACGUGUUUCGUCUCCUUAAAUAAAAAAAAAAAAAAAACAUCAUUUUUAUAAUACGAAAUUCCCCUGUCGUGUAUAUAUAUGUACAAGGGUCGUAAUAGUAGUACGCGGCGAUGGUGUGGGUAGUGUCAAAAACGUGAAAAAGAGCAAAAACGAGUGGCGAAUAAUAACAAUAAUAAUAAGAAAGAAAAACGCGUAACAAUAUAAACGAUGUUGAUAAUAAUAAUGAUAAUAUAAUACGUAUUAUAAUUAUUAUUAUUAUUAUUUAUAAAUCAUUAUGAUGAUGUAUUAUUAUAUAGUUGCAAUGUACCCAUUGUGGCCGUGCCAUUAAAUUGUAUAAUAAUAAAUUAAUGAAAGUUAUUGUUAUCGUACCGCCGGGCAUAGACACCGCGGCGCGGGUGCACUGCUGCUGCAGACUAAGCUUUCCGGUCCGAAACAAUUUGCGCGGAGCUCCUUAUUUUAUCUCGGCGCGCGAUUCAAAAAUAUCAUCCCUGGGGAGCGGCAGGAGGAAUAUCCGUCACACACACAGACACCCACACACGCACAUAACCCCAUAGACCUCUUAAAAUAAUUGCACGUUACAAUAAUGCAAUAUCGCAGUGUUGUUCCAAAAAAUUUAUUUUUCCGAGUUCGGUUCUGCAAGCCGAAAUGUAACACUGCAGAGUAGUUUUAGUUAGUUUUAGAAGGUUUCACCCCAAAAGGAAUUGUUGUUUAAAACCCCCGAUAUAUGCUCCAGGGACGUUUUGGUGCCCCGAAUGAAAACCUAAAACCUACUGCCUAUUGGCCGUCGCGGGUUUAGAUAAAGCAGAGAAGAAUUUUCAAAACUUAACUUUCCCGUUGGUUCACGAACCUGAUACUGCUCUAAAAAAUUUGCUAGUUAUAGCACGUCCUAAUUGCAGUACUCGAAUUGGGAGGACGAAGCAGGCAUGGAAACAGUCUACUUCCAUUUUUCUGAAUUUUUCUGAAUUUUUCUUCUGCUUUCGAUUUCAUUUUUUCAUAGAAUUUUACGUACCGCUUAAUUUAAAUAACCCGGGAACGAUUUUGUUGAAGUGUCUGCGUUUAAUUGUACAAUUCAACUGUUUAUUCAAGUGUUGUCCAAAAUUAAAAUUCGGGUUUUGAUCUGGAACUGAGGAGAAAAAAAAGCCAACAAAUUAAAAAACGUUCCAUAUCGGUAACCUAUGUAUUUUCCUAUUAUUUUUUUUCCUCCAGAUACAAAACUAGACUAACCUAAAUACAUUAGUUUUUUUUUUUUUUAUAAUGCAUGCUUGGUGGUUUUGUUUUUUAAACUACUUAAUAUGUGUGCUGAUCACUGUAACGUCUAUCAAAACGAUACGGUAUCUAAACUAAAACCAACGUCCGUCAUCAUUCCCCCUCCCUCUCCAAAUCGAAAAACCUUGAACCUAUAGACGAUGUAAAACCUCGACGGAUCGCGUAUUUACAUACUGGUCAAAUUCAUAUACGGUCUAUAAAUACGCUUCCAAAAUAUUCGAGUAUAUAUCACGGAUAAACUAAUGAGUAGAUCUAAAGUUGUAGUAGCCCAAGAAUUAUGGCCGAGAGGACGAAUUCUAUCUGAUUGUGUAGUAAUAUAUUAAUAUAUAGAAACAAUUUGCGUUUUAUUUCAUAUAUUUUCUAUAGAAUACUAUAAGAUGUCCUUAUCACAUAUUAUAUUUAUCUCGUAGGUAAUUCAUGGCAUAAACGAGUAUAUUUUCUUCACGGGGUAAUCAAUUAUUAUUACAAUUUACGCUUUCUUAUAGUAUUUGCAAAUUUGUCGAUAAUAAUAACCCCGGCAACUAUUUCCCCUUAUAACUGUAAUCGCCAAUCGGUUACAAAAUAAUAAAAUUCGUUUCACCGCGGUCACACUGGUUACAAAUCGCGGUCAUACAAUGUUGGUAACCAUUGCGGAUGGAUGGUGACGAUCGGUGACUUUCCGUCAUUCUCUCCAGAAUUAUUACUUCUCUAUAACUUCUCCAUUACUUCUCUUUGACAACCCGUCUGUAGUUAUCUCUUCACGAUCACGAUGCCAAACAAUGAAUUUAACUUAAUUUCGAAAAUUUCGUUUUCAAUGUUUGGUUUUUAAGAAGACCGUAAGUCAUAAAAAGGGCCAAUAUUUUCAUGCAUUUGCAUAUUUUUAUUGUUCGGUCUUAGAAAUAACUAGUGCAUACCAAAAUGGGUUUCAAUGGGUUACAAAAAUGUAUUUUGCGUAUUUUGACGUUUUACGAUUUUUAGCACAUAUUUUAAAGGUAUCGUAAAUUUUUAAGAAAUUUAAAACUCGACAAAUUAAGAAUCACGAGAAAAAAGCCGUUCAAGAUAUUUUAUAAAUUUAAAUGUACCCGUUUUUCAAAUAUGUAUGUAUUGAUUUGUUAUGGGUUAUUCAAUUUAUCAAUUGUGAGAUGAGGUUAGAUUAGAAUAUCUUGUCUAUGUAUUUUAUCGUACCUAUAUACUCGUAUUAUGCGUGUGCGGUGUGCUAAAUCGAUCGAUGUUUUAUUCUUUUUUAGAGCAUAUUUUAGUAAUUUUUAUAGCAAAACUGCGUAAUAAUUUUAAGAAGGUUUUCAGGGCAUAUAUCGGUCGGCCCUAGUCCUAAUAAGCUACGGGGCAGGUUUAAAACGAAUUCAUUCAUCGUCACUGGUCACUAUACAGGUUUAUAACCGUAUACCAAAACUUUGUUCGUUAUCAAUUCGCCGGCGUGACUCUUUACGGAUUUCCGGAUUUGCUGGUUUCAUAAUGCCUCUUGUCCAUGAGCGUCCCCCGAAAUCUCCUCUAGCCCAUCUCAACAUUUCUUACAGCUUCCCUAGAAAUGAACACGCAGUAAAAGGUUUUCUCGGUUCUUUUUUUUUUUUUUGGUUUGAACAAAUUUACGGAACAAGUGCGGUUUAGCUCCCUUAAUCUCACACUACGCCUACGAUUUUUUCGUAUACAAUCAUUUUAUACGUAUCGUCUGUGUACACUCAUUGCGCCGUCGCCAUAAUAUGCUUCGGUCCUUUUUUUUUUUAAUUUAUCUCCGAUUACAUUUCCUCGUUUCCCGGAGAACGUAUUGCAUAUGUGUAUACCGGAUUGCAGGUAUAAGUACGAGUUAAUCGCAUCACGAGUCGUGACUAUACAUAUAAAAUAAACAAAUGCUAAACAUUUUUUUUUUUUUUUUAUAUAUGUAUAAACGAAUCAAUUUACACGGUACAAUACUAUUAUGACACACGCGGUAAACGCAAAGUAUUCGUGUAGGUAGAUCUAUAACAGGCAGUGAGUGAUUACGAGUUUUCCGAGGAAAUUUUUUCUUUCUUUUUUUUUUUUAUAGUAGUAAAAAAAAAAAGGAUGAUUACAGCUGAUUUAUUAUUAUUCUACAUGUCGGUUGUGUACACGUAAACUGUUUAAAUACACAUACCCGUCACACAUUAUAAUAUUAUUAUGUAGGUAGGUAAAAAUGUAGUAUUGUAGUAUCAUAUUAUCUAUAUAUAAUUGGAUUAGUCAUACGUUAAAAAAAAAAAAAAAUUUAAAAACACGAUAAAUAUAAUAUAUACAUGGAGUAAUUAAAAACGUUUUCAAUGUAUAUUGUUACCGAGUCUAAGCUAGUCUCUUUUUUUUUUUUUUUUUUUUAUUUUUUUUUUUUUUAAAAAACUUUUAAAAGUCAUAUUUAAAACGUACAUAUACGUACAUUGUUUAACAAAUACGCCGCGACUAUACCUACAACACCACACUACGCAAUAUUGUAAUGUGUGUGUAAUUAAUUCGGUUUUUUUUUUCACACUUCGCCUACGUCGCGUCUUAUAAUAUCGUCAAAGAAAAAAAAAACCAAACUACCUACGUUAUGUCAAUUUUUUUGUUUUGUUUUACGGAAACCAUAACAUAAUAAUAAUAACAAUAGUAGCGUUACGUAUUUCGACGGUAUAUACUCGUAAUAAUAUAAUAAAAACUCGAGGUAUUUAAUUUUGCACUUUUGGUUUUUAUUUUUAUUUUUAUUAACAUUUUUUUUUUUUCCUUUUUUGUAAUUCCCUCGUUUUUUAAUCGCUAUUUCGCGUUCGUCGACAUUUGCAUAAUAUUCUACACUUUCUCUCCUCUGCUCUGCCAAAGUAGAUUAUAUUAUAAAUAUUAUUCGAUAGAAAUUAUUAUAAUAUAAUAUUAUCUUGACUUAUUAAGCUCUCCCUUGUAUUAUUCUUUCUGACAAACCCAAUUACGUAAGAUAUUUCACGGAUUAUUAUAAUUUUUUUUUGUUCUAUCUCGACUUUUAUAUAGCAGGUUUAAGUUGUAGAGUGUUUGAAUAGAGAAGAAAAAAAUCUUCAGAUUUCGGAAAUAUUGUGCGGUUUUAAACCCUUUAAACAAUAUUUCGUAAUAUUAUUGUAUAUCCUAUAAAUAUGUAAUACGCGUUUAUUUGUGUACACUAUACGAAAUAUUCAUAAAAUACACUCGGUAUACGUAUAUAUAAUAUGUAUAGGUGAAGUUUAAUAUAAUUUGUUUUUGUUUUCUUUCAUAGUUUUUUGAUAUUAUAUUAUAAUAUUAUACUGUUUCGUAUAAUAUUCCGUUAUUAUUUUUGAACGUUUGAAAUGCUACGUAUACUAUAAGCAAUAUUAUAUCGUAAAUGUAUUAUAUUAUCUAUAUUAUAUAUUUAUACGUAUACAGCUAUAUUCCGGGUUUAUUUUGUCGUUGAACAUAUUAUAGUAUACGUAGAUACAUAAUAUUUAUUUGUAUAACAAAAAAAAAUAUGAAAAAAAUAAUAGUUUCUAGUUUUUUCGCCGCGAAAAGUGCUCAAGGGAAUGUUCUGUAUAUUAUUAUGUAUAAAAUGCACAAUAGACGCAAUUGUAUAUAGUGUACCUCCUCCCCCCCCCCGCCGUGUAUAAUAUUCAAAACUUCUUCGAAAAAAUGAGUUAUUUUAAAUCGUUAUUGUGAAAAAAAAAAAAAAUAGAAAAAACGCAUUUAAAUGCUGCACAUGCGUUUGUCGUCUCCGUCUGACAAUCGUAACGACGACGUAGCAAAUUCGUGUUCGGCAAAGCAAAACCAAUUUUGUGCUAUUCGUUUUACAUUAUUAGAAUGAAUUGACCCGUUCAUCAGACUUACGGGCAAGACAAUAUAUGAUCUGUACUUGUACGUUGAGUUUUUUUUCGUUAUUUUAUUUCUUUACCGAACUACGAGUGUGUGUGUUGUGUGUGAAAAGUUCCACGAAAUACAUAGACAUUUCGCUCGAGAUUAAAAUAUCAAAAAAUAAAAACUUACGUGCUUGUCUUACUUUUAACUUUUAAAUUUUACUACAAUGGCCUAGGUAUAUUCGUUGUAAUAUUUGAACUUAAAGCACAAAAUUGGCUUUGCCGAAUGCGAAUUUUCCGUAUCGUACAGCGAACACAACAAGUGCAUGAAGUGUAGUAGCGUCCCCUUAAGUAAAGUUUUCCAUCCUAUUAUUAGUACAAUCGUCUAUACACGGAUUGAAAGUGAACAUAAUUUUUCUUUUAAUUCCGUACUGUUUCUGAAAAAGUGACUUUUCCUUAAACAAAUUUAACUUUUUCCAAUCUUCAAAAGUGGAUUUUUUUUUUCUUGAUUUAUUAUUGUAUGUUCCGUAAUUAUUAUAAGCGAUCCUAUAGUAGUGGCGUAAAACCGGACGUUAUUUUUUUCUUGUUCUCGAUUCGUCUGCGUAUUACAGGUAAUACCGUUCUAAUAUUAUGCGUACGACUUUGCGCUAUAACAACGAACGUUAAAAUAAUAAUAAUACAAAUUCGCUAUCGUAAAACAAAAUAUACGCUCGUUGUGUAAUUUUUUUCCCCUUUUUUUCUUAUCGUCGUUUCGUUACGCCGGACAUUUUAUUAUGCACACACGGUCCGUAUUAUAGGUUUGGGUUUUAGUGUCGCCGAACUGAUUUUUUGUGUGUGCGGCAAUCCAUAACAGUAGUUUAUACCCACCUACCUCAACGCCGCUGUAUUAAACCUAAGUCGCGGGGAGGGGGGCAUAGCCGUUGUUGUAGACUUAGAAAUGUAUUAUGUAAUAUUGGUUAUUUACCGUCAAACGAUUAGUUAAAAAUAGUUAUAGUUAUAAUUAAAUAGUUGUCUGCUUUUACCGAUACGAUCGCACAGUAAACGCUAUAAGUAAUAAGUCCGCGUGUUUUUCGUUAUGUUUUAAUAUACGCCGCAGUAGUUUUAUCGUCUCCCUCGUUUCGUAAAUGUUUACAGAAAAAAAAAAAAUCCAUUCGUGACGUUAAAUAUUUGCGUUCGGCGUGCAUACGCCUACAAUAUAUAAUAUUAUAUAGGUACCCGGUAUACAGGAUGACGACCGGAAAACGUACGGCGUAUCAAAGACGAGGAAAAAAAAAAUCGUUUUCGAAUAUUAUCCUCGUCGUCUAUACACGAAAUAGUGCAACGCGUCAAUACCUUUGUGUAUUUUUCCAAACGAACGCGAUUCGGUUUCGAGUCGUUAUUGUUACACUCGUACGUCAUCGUCGUUGUUAUUAUAAUUAUCGUUGUAUUAUCGAAAAAUAUGUGAAAAUAUCGUACGGAAAUAUUCACGGUAGAAACGAAUAUUACGCGUUCCGUUUAUAUUCUAUAUUUGUUGACCGCGGUUAUACGUUAUAGGUAUGUAUAUAUAUACGUACAUAUACGUGCGUUUUCCAAUUUCGCGAAAAAAUAUUACGCCCCCCCCGUCCCCCGCAAGGGCCUCAUCCCUCAAGGCUGUGGAUAUUCCGGAUACGCGUAUGUAUAUACAUACAUACAGGGUACUCGAAACUCGGUAGUAUUCGCCGCAGUGUUUGUUUUGGAAAACGAUAUAUUUCUUUUGAACAUACGCGUAUACGUUGUGAAGAAUAUAAUAUAUUGAGUACGAUUAUUAUAUUAAACCGAAAAUGGUUUCAAUACUUUCGGUACGUCUUCGUCGUCGUUUAUAUCAUCGUAUACGUUUCCGUUUGUUAUUCGUUUUAUAUCAUAUUCAAAAUCGUAAUCGAAAGCUAUUCGGUUUUACUGUAUAUAAGUAUAGACGCGUUCUUGUUCUUGCUCGUAAAACACUUUUUCGGCUCGCGACGGUCCUCGUAGACUUUCGUCUAGACUGGGAAAAAUGUUCGAACGAUAUUUCCCCCCGUAUUCGCGCGUGUUUAAUUUCGGACAUUAAAUGUAGAGACUUUUAAGGUUUUUUUUUUUUUUUCUUAUCGACAUUUCUAAUUUUCCUCGAUUACACAAAUACGUUUUAAGAAAAAAUACUUUCCCGGCUUCGUUCUGAAGCCAAAACGAACGAGCGUAUCGAAUAAUCGAGACGAGCAGUAUCGUCUAAUUCUAUGCGAGCGAUAAGCGCAAUUUACCGAUUUCCCGCCUAGUAUAAGUCCCGUCUCGCUUUUGUGUUAGCAUAUUUUAUAUAAAUAUUUUAAUAAUUCAAUAACGUCUCGUAUAUCUGCGCGCGUGCCUCUAGUGAGGAUAAAUUAUUUAGCUGAGUUUUUUUUUUUUAUCGUUUCCUGUAGAUAUAGCAUUUUGCGCUGCUUCUGCAAGUAUUGCACUGGACGGUCAUCCGUUAAUCAAUAUAAUGACAAAUCGUCCGUGUUAGCGGGAUAAAAAGAAGAAAAAAAAACCUUUUAUAUCCUGUCCGAGAUAUUAUACAAUAUAUAUAGGUACUUUCUCGUCGAUAAUAAUAUCACGACGGCGAGGUUUUUGUUUCCCGCGCGUUAAAUGAAAUUCCUGAGCGGGAUAUCGGAUCUAUGACAUACACUGUAGUGGAGCACUAGUUCAUCGGGGGUAUACCCGUACUGCCGAAGUUAUGCGAUAGAAAUUAUAAACCAUAAGUGUGUAUGUGUUUGUGUGUGUGUGUGCGUGCGUAGACCGGUGUACUUUAACAUUGGCGAAAAUCGUUAAAAAAAAAAAAAAACCUCGAUCGUAAUCCUGCAGUUUAUAUACGUGUACCUGACUACCUGACCACAACGGAAAAUAACGUUAUUGUAAGGUACUAUAUAGAUUGCGUGUACGAUUUUAAACGGACAUUCCUCUCCGCGGAGAAUUUCUUGUCGGACUAUUUUUUUUUUUCUUAAGAUACCGCGGAUUUAAAUGGAAACGAACCCGCGGUGGCGGUGGCGAUAACGAAGGACGACGGGAUUUCGUUAUAUAGGAUGAAAAUACCACAUGGCUUCUUUUUUUUUGUUUUUUUUUUUUUUUGUUGUUUCCCGGGGCACGUGUUUUUUUGAAAUGCGUAAAUAGAAAAAAAUAGAAAAAAAAAAUAACCAUAACCCGAAAUCCCUCGGUCGUUGCACGUCGUGUUUUAUAUAAUAUAAUUUAGGUAGUUUAUUACCGGAAAUUUUAAAUCUCUCUAUACACACAAAUGAUUACGGAAGGGGUUUUUUUUUUGUGUUUUUAAACCAUCGCCUCAUUAUUAUUAUACAUCACUUAGGGUCAAAACAGUCACGUUUUCCUAUACAUCGUGUAUAAAGUAUAAUUUCGGAUCGGUUUUCUCCGUCCCCGUUCUUUGCGUUUCGGCACCGCGUUACAUGUUGCGUUAUAUUUUUAGUUUUUUAAGUUUUUCAUAUUCUACCGCAAGAGAGGAGUAAAAUCAUGAUACAAUACAAUAUAUUCACAUACACACAUUAUUUUAUAACUUCGCGUUUAGUUUAUAUUUUGUGUGUAUACAAUCGCAAUAACACAAAUAACAAUAACAAUACCAUUAUUCAAAAUAUUUAACUAGAUACAAUAUGACAUUGUAUCGGACACCUAUUUUGUAAUUUGUAUGAUUUUAAUCUACAAAACUAUGUACAUUUUUACGUUUUGUCAUAAAUUGUGUCCUGCGCAUUAUUUAAUAUUAUAUUAUUUUGGAAGCUUGAAAAUCUCUUGAAUCUCUUUGAUGCUUAAAAAUUUGAUACAGGGCUAAUCUUUUGUUGUACGUGGCUAUAGACGUGUGAAGUUCAAAUUAAAAACUACUCGUACGUUUUCCAUUUGUGCUAUUCGAAUACGAAACGACAUUAAUACUGUUAUAUAUUAAAGUUUUCAGUUUGCAAUUAUAGUAUAACAUUGUAAAUUUCGCGUAUUCAAAGGAUGUUAGCGCACAGUAUUUGUUUUCUCUGUAUAAUCGACGCCCAACAUGGCGAAUUUGCGUUCAGCAUAACCAAACUCGUGAUGUUGCUUAAGUAUUUGAGUAAAUUGCCUUCAAACUUGAUGUUAAUAAUAUUAUCCGUGUUUGUACGUUGGUUUUUUUACGAUAUUUCCAUCUUUAUGCAAGUUACUAUAGCAUGUAAAACAAAACAAUUUAAAAAUACUCGUAUCUCAUUUUAAAAUUGAUAUAUCGUAAAAAAUCCAAUCUAAAAAACGCGGAUAUAAUGUUCUUAACUUUAAAUUUGAUAGCAAGUCAAUUCACUCCGAUUAUAUUAAACCAACACGAAUUGGGUACUUAUGAACGCAAAUUCACUAUAUGUUGCCAGUGGCGUAACUAUAGAACUUCUAAUGCCCGUGGUGAAAUUUUGUAUUAAGAUCCUUAAUACCUUAGGCCAUGGUCUACGCCAUCCACUAGUAGGACCCUCGUCAGUUAUCGGACCGUGUCGUUUACCUUUCUUAUCCACCCGGUAUUUACGUAACUGCAUGUUACACGUGGUUCAGAGAGGAAAAAUAAACUAUGGCGGCUCGAAAAUCGUUAUAUUUUGUGUACUCUUAUAACGCUAAACAAAAUAGAAAGUUGGCGCUUUACUCGUCGUUUUCAAUCCGUUUGUAAUGUCGUUCGCGGAUAGAUUUCUCUGCGCUUAUUCGAAACUUUUACCGUCAAUUGACAGUCAAUUUUGUCUCAAUAUACCGUUAUAAUAAUGAGCAUUAGUUCCAACCGAUCUUAAUGUGUAAAACGGUAAACGAACAUUCGGAAACAAAAGUCAAUAGGUAAUGCACUAGUAAUAGUUUUAUAAUAGACGACUUCUCUUCGCUGUGUAUAACUAAUUGAAUAAUAACGUCUUUUGCGUCGUGUUGCUCAAAUUACCAUGCGUGUCAGCCGAAUAGAGGGGAGGGAAGGCCGUGUACGUAAACCGUUUGACAAAAACCUUGGCUUUAUGUGGCGGUUACGCCAUUACGUAACGAUGUGUGUGUGUUUACAUCGGUGAGUACGCUUGUUACACUGAUAAUAUUAUAAAUUAUAACAAACUAUCGCGCGUGAAAAUCGCAAAUAAAAAAGGACGUGAAUUAGGUUUUUUUUUUUUUAAAUUCCAUUUUUGAAUAAAAACAGUUUUAAGUCAAAGUCAAUAGUAUUUGCAUGCAAUUUUUUUUCUCCACUUUUUUGAUUAACUUGAAUUUUCUCAGAGUUAAUAAUUCCGACUACUUAACUGAAGUAAAAACCAUUAAUUAAUUUUGCGGGGCGUUUUGAUAGUGUGAUUAAACAAAACGAUUUCUGUUUUAAUUCGAUUGACUUGGCCCCCGCAAGGUUUGCACAUCACUAUUUCGUAUUGUAUAACAUUUGAAAUCGCUUUAUUGUUACAAUAAUAUUACUGCAAUGUUUUGAGAUAAUCGAUAGUAUUCAAAUGAAAUUUUUUGCACGUGUGUGUUUUCACACGUACAAUAUUAUUGUCUUUGUUUUGUUUUCAUAUACCGACAUGCAAUAUUGUGCAACAUUAACGAAUAGAAAUUCAAUGAGUACGCUGCGGCUUUUAAACUGCGCUUGAAAUUAAAUUAAACAAACCUGUUACUCGAACGUCACGAAAAAUAACUAACUCUAACGGCCGCGUAAAACUUUCAACCUAAAAAUAGUAUAAUAAUAAAGACCGUUGUGUACUAGUUGCGUCCCAACCACCUGCGAUGUUUAAAACGUCUGCAUUAAUAUUUCAUAGGGCUCGUCGAAUAUUAUUGAUUCAACAUAACCGAUUGCGUUUGAACUAUGAUAAUUGUCUCGUUUGUUACGUACUUAUAGGUACAAAUGCAUUUAUUGUCACGUUUACCAGUACCGUAAUAUAUAAAUGUAUAUGUAUUUAUUUAUUUUUUAUAACAAUUAGGAAAAUAACAAAAUGCGUGCAUAACAAUAACACUAACAGUAAAGACAAUAUGUUUAACCUACCUGACUAGGGUCUUGAGUUUGUGUAAAAAUGGACUUGAAAAUAUCGUUCAGUUUUCAUAAUUUACAGGAAGCAUUUAGUAUGUACCCGAUAAUAAAUUCGACGCCCCCCAAAAAUAACCUUUACAUACUACUCCGGGACGCGAUUCGAAAGGAAUUGUCGGCUGCCUACAUACAUAAUAAACGAAAACAAACGAGCACUAUAUUCGGUUAAAAUAAACCAACAGUCUUAUCUCUCGAUAUACGGCGAACGAUUAAAAAUAUAUUAUUGUUUGCAGACGUCUUUUUAGAUUGUUUUUGUAAAUACGAGUAUUGCCAAUACGUAUAAUUCCGUUAAUAUCAUAAAGUAAUAACUCUGCGUCGUACUUUUUUAUACUCUGCGUCAUACUCUUAAAAAUAAAUUAUUUCUCGUCAUAUUGUUUAAGAUUAGAUUAUGUCGUUCGCCUCGUUGAAUGCAUUAUUGAACAUCACGGACGAUGGCAUUUGUUGAGAGUUUUUAACCGGUACGUUGUAUAACUGCAAAGGUGUCUAAAUCCGUCGUAUUUUUAAUUUUGUUAUCACGGUUCGUCAAAACAAUAAAUUCAAAAGCGUAUAAAACGGUCCGGCUUCGUCUUUGUCACCAAGCUUAUUAUUGAAACGAUUUGUUCACACUGCACAGCACACCCCGGUUAGGUUAACAAUAGGGGGAAAAAAAUUGAAUUAUAUCCAAAAUUAUAACGUCCCUCGGUCGUGCGUUUCGUUUUCGAUUGAAAUAAUAAUAUUAAUAUAUUCAUUUUUAUCAAUAUUAUUAUUUUUACUAUGCCUACCCACGAAUGUUCGAAUUCGAAUUCCCGGGACCUCAGAAGCGCAAAUAUACGCGCCUGCCAUACCGCAGCGAAAACAAACGUGUUGUCAGCCGAAAUCCCGUGAAGUUAACGAACAAACACUGAUUACUAAUUUUCUUUCCAGUACCAAUUAUAGUGCUGAAUUAGUGUUGUACCGUUUUAAAAAAUUAUCAUUUUAAUAAUAUUUCUGUCUAUUUCUUCACAACAGAUGUGUCUGUAAAGUCUUUGCUAUUUUCGAAACAGUCACGCGAUGUUAGUAUUGCCAUCACAGUGUAAUAAUUUAUUGUCAUACUUGUUUUGAUUUCUUGUUUAAAAAAAAAAAGAAAUCAAACAACCGGUAUUAUUAAAGCAAGUAAAUUACUUAAUAUAAGUAAAUAAAUAAUAUUGCAGUAGGUGGAUCGUAUUAGGCAGUAGGUAGAAUCGGAUAUUUUUAUUUUUUUUAAAUUCGACAAAAACGCCAGUCGUCUGUUAUAUUUUCGCAAACCAAUAGUGGUAAUUUUACCUAUAUAUUAUUAUAAAUAGGUGUGUAUACAAUUGUGGUAAUAUCAUACCGAACGGUAGCCAUUAUAACAAUAAGGAGGGGGAGGGGCUCUUUAGAGGUGAAUAUUAUCAUCUGCUGCAGUAGUUCCUGUAUAUAAUGCAGUAAAAGCCAGAAAUCCGUUCGAAUAAUAAUGUUGUUCUCGUCGUUUGAAUGCUAUCAUAAUUUUUGUAUAUUUUAGUUUAAAAAAACAAAACAAAACAAAAACCGGGUAUUUUUGUUAAAUACCCGACCGUCGGUCGUAUAUUGUCUUAUUUUUAUUUACUAUUUAUAAAAAAAAAAAUAAUGUAUUUUUUACCAUAACCUACAUUUCGUUUUCACGUAAAAAAAAACCUGCCAAAUUAUAUAUGUAUGUAUGUUAUAGUUUUAAUAGUAAAAUUGAAGAUAUAAGAGAAGAUAAAUGAUACUCUAUAUAAUAAAGGUCCAUUGAAUGUCCAACCCCCCCAUUUCUUAAAAAAAAGCUUUAUGAGCUGAUAGACCAAAACUUCUUCUUGACUUUUGGGUUUUCCUCAGUAACUUCUUCCUUCGCCCCCGCCAGUGAAACUGUAAGAGUAUUUCCUAUGAAAAAUAUAAUAUUUCGUUAUAAAAUCGUUAUUACCAUUUGUUUUUUAUAGUUGAACACUGCAUAGUAAGCAAAAUUUUACUCUUCUGGUUGUUUAAGGGACUUUGCGUGUGUUCAUUGGCACACAGAAAACCCCCUUAUAAAUAAUGUCCCGCUAUAUACUCUCAGAACCAUAGCGUAUAUGAUAUUUGGAAGACCCUGCAGUACAUACACGGUGCAUAGGUGCCUUAAAAUACAAUAAAAUUCGAUUUCUAUAAAUCAAUAUUUCUUUACGUGGUUUAUUAAAUGUUAGGGUACAGUGGAUAUUGGAUACUUCAAGUUUUCCAGUUAGGUCGACGUGUUUACCUUUUAUAUAUCGCAUACGUAAAAAUGUGGGUCGAUGUGUUCCGCGUUGUUGUUAUUAUUAUUAUUAUUAAAUCUUGUUUAAACGUGAAACCCUCGCUCUAUUACAGAUAUAACGUUCCUACGUUAAUAAUUCGUAUCUUCAGAGAAAACCGUUGACUGAAAUUUAAACCUAUAAAAUAUAUACACACAGUAUACACGGGUAGAGUAUGUCUGCAGUGAGCUUCAAAGAGUUCUCGACUUAAAAAGUUGUUAGUGCGCAAAAGAUGUUAAAGGGAUACACGUGACGCGGAUAUUUGUAUUCGAUUACGCUCGAAUGUCGAAAAUAAUUCUGUUUCCGACGCGGACUCGGGUGUAUUAUUUUUUCUGAGUGGUUGUUAAUUUAGUAAUACUAUACGCGUUCACAAAGGAACGUCGUUACUUUUAAUUAUUACACCGGGAACGGUUUUAUCCGAGUGAAUAUUCAUUAUUAGGUAUUAUCGUUAUCAUUAUUAUUAUUAUUAUUAUAUCGAAUUAAACUCGGUAUCGCGUGUACUGUGGGAAUCAUGCAGAGCUGAUUAUGGAACUGGAGUGCAAUAAAGACGCCCGUUUCCUAAAGAGUCGUAUUAUUAAACAGCGAAAAGAUGAAUGGAAAAUAUAGUAUAUUAUAAUAUAAUACUUGGCUUAUACAGUGUGUCCCACGAGAAUUCAACAAAUGCAAUAACUUUUGUUCUAUUCAAUAUUUUUGACUUCAAUUUUUUUAAAAUAAUUAUUAUGCCUCAGCACUACAGUUUAUAUUUGAAUAUUUUUCUUUUUAAGGAAAAAGGGUCUUAAAAUAACAAAUUUUAAUUUUUAGAAAAGUUUUAGUGGUUGAAACUUUUGUCAAAGUAUGGUUUUUUAUUUUCUACGAUUUUUCGAAAAUUUGAAUAAUUUUCUUUUCAAUCAUAACAAUUUUGUUCACCUACAUAAAUUACCAUUAUUGAUUGUUUGGAAUUACUUAAUAACUAUACUAUGAUAAUAUUAUUUCUUGGUAAUUAAUUCACGGAAAAUAAAAUCCCGACUAAUUACUAAAUAACCACAAUAGGUAAUAUUCACAUUUGCAAAUACUUCAAAAAAUCAUAGAAAAUAAAAGAUCAUACUUUAACAAAAGUUCCAACCACUAAAAAUAUUCUAAACAUCUAUUUUACAAAAUGACUAUUUUGAAUUUUUUUAAAAAAAUUAUUGUAAAAUUUCAACUUUUUAUUUUUAGUCUCUCUCCUCCUAAAAUAAAAAUGUUCAUAUAUAAACUGUAGCGCUGAGGCAUACUAUUUGAAGAAAAUGUAUAUCAAUAUUAUUGAAUAGAAAAAAUGUUAUUGCAUUUGUCGAAUCCUCGUGGAACAUCCUGUAUUAGAGAAGGGGAGCAAUUUUUAAUUUUUUUGAAAAUAAGUUUGGCGAGGUGUAAAAUAAAUGUACGGUAUCAAAACUAUGAAAAACAAAUUUUGUUAUUUUAGCUUUAAUAGUAGGUGCUACUACACUGAGAUUGAACGUUAAAAUUUAGUAAACAUUUGUUAGCAAGGAAUUUCGUAACAUAGUUAAAUUUUAUAGUUAAGAAAUCGAAUUUUCACUAUAAAACAAAGAGAAUUCGCACUGUUACAAAAUAAUAGUCAUUCGAUGAGUUCAAAAAAGUAAAAUCAUCGCUGCACAGUUUUUAAGUUCUACUGUUGUAAUAGUAAAAAUUUGAUUUUUCAUAAUUAAGUCUAUAACUUGGACGGUUGUCAUAAUAGAAUCAUGCCUGUAAUAAUACAACCUCUUAAAAAAGAUAUCAACGAGAUCGUUUUUGAACGUGAAAAUUAUAAGUAAGCCGAUAUGAAUCUUUUCCGUUAUUCCGAUAUCUUAAAAAAAUUCGAUAUCAUUUAAAUUAUACAUCAAGAACAUUGGUGUUCUACUAGAAAAAUAAAAAACACGAUUUUCCGAUAUUACCAGUAUCGGCCGAUUUUCGAUAUCGGCUCGUGUCGAUGUUCACCCCUAGUGAAAACCUCUUAUCGAAAAACCGUUUUAUCUCGAAACGCAUUUACGAUUUAGCGUAAAAUGUCGUCCAGAUAGAAAUUUAAAUAACUCGACUUUAUCUAUAGGGAACGGGAUUCAGUAAAAUAAUAAUUUAUGAAGAAUAAAAAAAAAAGAUAAGAAAGAAAAUAUUUCGAGUCAAUAUUGUUUAUAUUAUGCACGCUAUAUUGAGUGCGGGACAUCUUCUCUUAUUAUUUAUAUAUAUAUAUAUAUAUUGAUACAACGUUUUCAACAUUUUAUUCGUGCAUACCGUACAUGGCGUAUAUCACGUAAUUAUACAUGGACAUUAAACGCAUAUUGUCGACAUUUGAUUUUCUAAAUAAUAAUAUACACCCGAGCGUACAAUGGAAAAACGUUAAAAAUAUUGUAAAUUAAUUAGCGAAUAAACUGUCCGUCGUUAUGUGCGAUUCUAUAUCACAGAGCCGGCUAACAAGCUAUUCGGCGGCUCUUGUCGCACGAAACUUUCCACUAUUAUAUGACCGUGUUUGCAUUAAAAUUGUAUAUUUCUGUAGUGCGGUUGUUUUCAACCUGGGGGUCGCCAAAAACUAUACGUAUCACAUGUAUACUGUACAUUGUAUUAUUCGAGUUCUAUUAAACGAAUUUUGAAGAGUUUGUCAUAAAUGAUAAAACAAAAUUAGGUGGUCGCGAUUCGAAAAAGGCUGAAAACCACUGCUAUAAUGUAUACGUUCUGAAUUUCGUGCCGUUUUUCGAAACACGUUCUCGGCCCGGACCAGUAUUGCCAAGUUUUGUAGACGUAAUUAUUUCUGACGAUUCGUAAUUAACUAUACAUAUAACAGCCCUGUACUUGAAAUAUAUUUUGUCCGAAUCGAGAAGGUCCAAACUCGUUUUUUGUGACGUACUGCGGGGCCUUACACUAUUAUUUUACGAUUUGAUGUUUACUUAUUCUUGUACCGGACAGACGGUAUCUCGAUCGCUAAAAUUACAAAAACAAAAAAAUCAUACAUUUAUGUUAUUGUAAAAGUGACCUAUCUAACUUUUUAUUUUAUUUAAGAAGAAAAUGAACAACUAUACUAAUUAGCGUAACAAAUAAAAGUAAUAACAGAGAAAAAAUGUAUAGACAAACAUGAAAAAGGUAUGAUGUAGAAAAACACCCAGCGGUGCUAUCUACUUUGGAUAUUUGUAAUUUUAUUUAAAUUUUAAAGGUAGUCUCUACUCCAUUUUUUUAUUAUUAUUAUUAUUUUUUUUUUUUCGUUGACUUCCUAAGAGGGUUAACAAUAAUACGGUUUGAAGACAGGUGAACUAUAUUAGGGUCGUUAUGGAAGCUGAAUUCGCAUUAGAGUUUAACUGGUAAGCCAUUUGAACAAUCCGGUUGACAUAAUUGAUUUUAAGGUCAGUGUGAAGUUAACCGGGGGAAUUUGGUUAAUGUACGUAUGAAAAUGGAUUGUAAAGUUCAUAAUCUAUUAUAAGAUCUAAUCUAAUAUAAUCUAUAUGAGGUCACUGGUUAGGUUAUUUGGGAGGGGGGGCGCCCCAACACAAAAUUGUAAUGAAAAAAAAGAGACGAAUGUCGAUUUAUUAUACGCCCUACUUCUCCGAAGACACCGCAGUGUAAUAAUAACAGUAUUAAUACUCGUCGUGCAACGUGGAGGCUGCUGUCUGAAAAUUUAAUCGCGGAGCCUAUACGGGAGGUGUAUUACGAUAAUACGUAUUACAAUAUAUUAUGUAUAACCGCACGCGGUAAUUUGUACGCGUCUUAUGAUAAUAUUAUUGUACGUGUGUGGUAUACACACUAAAUUAUAUAUAUAUAAUAUUAUAUUGCGAUCGGGGUACCGCCUCGUGUACGUAAUUUACGGCGGGCAAUAAAACUCGGACGGGGGUGAGGCGCGACGACCGUUUAAACUCGUCUGGGACGCGAAACGCGCGCACGCGAAACGGCAUCCGUGUCGUGUUAUUAUUAUAAAAACCCAUCGACAGUUAGUGUACAAAAGUAUUGCCGCUGCGGUUAUAUCAUGUAGUAUACAGGGCGCGGCUCGUGAAAACAGACAGUUAAAUAACAAACAAUUUUCUAGGGGGAAAAAUAACGUUUUUUUUUUUUUUUCUUAUGUUUCGGGCCGGAGAACCGAGCCGAUUUUCCGAAAUUUCAACCCUCUGGAAAACGAGCCAGUAAACUGACGUGUUUUCUUAUGAGGACGGUACACGUGCGUUUGUUGUUGCCGUUGUUACAAACGCGCGAUUACACAGUUAAAACUCGCAGCUCAUGCAAACAGUUUUUGUUUGAGUAUAAAAACACCUAUUAUAAAAUCAAAAAAGAACAAUAUUCCGGGAGGGCAAGACGGUGUGGUUGUUUCCAUUUGCUCCGAAUUUAACAGUCAAUUUACCGUUUAUAAAUAACGACUUUUUCAACGUUUUUUUUUUUUUUUAAUUCUCUAAAAUUAGUGCGUUUACUCUAAAACCAAAACCAAGCGAGUUCUAUGUAGUCUACGUAAAACAUGUUUUUACAAUGUCUUGUGUUUUUAAAACAGAAACAACGUCCUCUUAAGAGGACGCGUGAUAACCACUCAUGUGCUGUCUCUCCGUCUUUAUAACGCGGUGGUUUUCAAACUGGGUGUCAAAAACAUUCACUAGAUGUGCCGUGGUGUUUUGAAAUUUGUUUUCCUUAAUUUGUGACGGGCCUCCAGUUACGAUGAUCUGUUCGUUAAGUAUGAAGUCGUAUCGUAAAUUUUUCGACUAUGACUCAUUUGAGUAUGACUCAUCAAUUGUGUUAUUAGUUUUAAAUUUGUAUAAAAAUUAACAAUGAUAAAAAAAGAGUCACGGUUUGCCGUGAAAAUGUUGUGAAAAGCGAAAUGUGCCGUGGUUAAAAAAAAUGGUCGCGUCAACUCAGCUAAACGUCUUCCGUACGUCAUAAUAUUUACUCAAAUCGCAUUUUAUCUUUCUGUAGAGUGUGCCUACAUAAUAUUUUUUUUUCUUGCAAAAAAAGGUCCAUUCCCACGUCGCACCCUGAAUAUUAUAUUCUUUAUUGAUAUCGCUUCUAUAUUUUGUGACGUGACGUAUAGUCCGUAUCUCCCGCGGUGUUCAUGCUACUCUUCCCCACGCCAACCCAUUCGCAAACCAACCGCUCCCUCUGCCGACCCUUACGUAUAUAAUAUACCUGUAAUUUCGACGUAUUAUUAUUAUUAUCAUUAUUUUUUUUAUUUUUUUUUUUUUAUUUUUUUUGUUAUUAUUACCUGUGUGUUGCGUGUGUACCUUAACGAGGCGCGGACCAGAUGGUCGGAGUAUUAUAGUGUAAUAUUUCAAUUCCCGUCGUCACGGCGAUGGCGUAAUUAUAAUAUAUUGCCGAUGACGAAUUAACCUAAAAACAAAAAUCGAAAAAACCCCAGAACGCAAGAGCUUACUUGUGCAGCAAGUACGAUGAACAGUUAAUAUGGUUUAAGCUCAGAAAAAAUAGCCCCCUACUCACCACCAUAAUGUUGAGAAAAAAACAAAAACGAUUUAAGGGGAGGGGGGCUUGACUGAGAUUUGGGAUUGUUAGUCUCCACUUUAUGUAUGCCAUCGAUUCGUGAUUGAACUGAAAUUGAAGUUUAAAAGAGUCAGAAAUAUAUUAUGCGGUGGUUUUUUCGAUUAGUAAAAAUAUGAUUCAAAAACGUUAAUUUCCUAAACUUAACCGGGUAUAAUUAAAAUGACAUGUUUAACAUGGAACAUUUCUUUUUAGAUUCCCGAUAGUUUUGUAAAACAACAUCAGGAAUACUGAUGAAUAAUAAAGUAAUAUCAAAUUUCUUCAAUUCUUCACUUUGUUUUGUAUGCGAGAUCGUUCGGUUACACGAGUAGGAUGUGACACCGAUAAACUUUUUUGUAUUUUCCCGAUUGGCCGUAAUUUUCAUGUAAAAUAAUCCGAGAAGUACAAUAUUACGUAAAGAUAAUUUAUAGGAGUUAUGAAAUGUGAACGGUUAUGAACGUUGUUUUUAGUUUUUACUCGCGAAAUUUUGUCGUUUUUUUUUUUUUUUUUGGAUUUGGCAAAAUGCCGAUUUUAACGCCACUGCCGGUAAAAAAAAACCUCUGCUGCAAACCACUACAGUUAUUAUUUUUUUUAUUUUUAGCGGAGAAAAUAUUAUUAUCACUUAUCGACGUGUGCCAAUCGCAAUAAAACCGAAUAUAAUAUAUGCAACUCGUGUUCUCGUACCAAUAAAUUACUAUAUAGGACAUAAAGCAGUUUUCGAUUUGGCGGCCGGACAUAUAAUAAAUAAUACGCAAGCCCAGACGGUUUGCAGCGCAUUUCUAUAUUAUUAAAUGACGACUCACUGCAUAGUAGUGUACUCGUAUAAUAGUAUGUAAUAUUUUAUUUUUGGAGAGCAAUUAUUGUUCAUCGGUCACGCGUUACUCAUUAAAAAUGGAUAACAUUAGAUCAUAUCAAAUAUCUACAGAAGUUGGAUGCGUAUAUAUGUGUACACUUAUAUUCAAAUUCACAGAGACCAAUUGACACCAAUAAUUAUCUUGACCUCGUUUGUGUCGCUCGUCUUUCGAUAGUUUAGAAAAACAACCAAGAGAACUCGCGUACGUGAUUUCGAAAGUCCGUCUACACCUAUCAAGUACAAUAAUUGUCUCUAUAAACUACGAGUAUAAAAAAUGUUGAUUUUGUAAAUUUUCAAUUUAAAAAAAUGCCGAUACUGCCGAUGAUGACAAGUGCGUCACGACUGUAAUUUAAAACUUUGUGGUCGGAAAAGAGGAAAUAAUAUGGAAUGAUUUAAUUUACAUUUGCAGCUGUACACAGUGAUGAUAGCCGUAUUCAUAGACGCAACUAGAAAGGUGCUAGAAGGUUUUUAGUAGCCCUAUGCACCCCUGAAAAUACCCAAUAAAUCGUUUUAUAGUACAGAUUAAAUUUAUUAUUAUAUACUAUAGUAAAAACUAAGAACAAACGAAAUUGCUUUUAUUAAAUAACGAAACAAACAUAAGCAUUUUAUAUGUGAACCAAAACAUUAUUACAAAAUAAAAACUGUAUAUUGCGUUUUUUGCAAACUAAAUAUUGUUCAACUUUUUCAACAAACGGUUGGUGUCUUGAUGAACUUUUUGUCUAUGUGAACACUAAGCAUAUACAUUACACACAGUCCAUCCAAACAAUAUUCUCCCAUAGUACUUCUUGUCAUUAUCGUUAGAAAUGUUAAUUUAUUAUAACUAAAAAAAAAAAUUACAAUAUAAUAUUUCUUAGGGGGGGAGUGACACGUCACCCCCUUGCACUCCCUUAUGGACGCCCUUGGUAGGUAUAUAGUAAGCAUUGUACCCAAAAAAAAUUCCCACCGCGUUUACUAUUAUAAUAUUAUAGGGUCAUUUUAUAGGGUGGUUUUCUCGGAUCCGACCUUUCAUUUUCUCUCUCGAUUUAACGCGAACGCGUACAUUUUAUAAUCCCAUCCAUAAUAAUCGACGACAUCGGCCGAACAGCUGAAAAACAAAAUCGGUACAUUUAUUUUUUUUAUACGAUUAGUCAUCCGCAAAGAGGAUUUUAUACACAAUAGCGAUUCGUUGUUUAUUCGCUAUAAAUAUAUAGGUAUAAAAUCUUUUCGGUUUGUCGCGUAAUAUUACGCCGCGCCCGUUGUUUAACGUAAACAUUUACUGGGUGAGGGGUGAUGGAGGGGAAGUAGGGUUUUGGAUAAUUUCUCGACGAAAUUAUAUUGAAAUCAAUACAAUGACAGUGUAUGUACGCCAAUGUAUCAGCGUUCCGAACACCCGCUAUAGUAUACAUAAUUUAAUUCAUAUAGCGCCUGUAUGUUAUAAUACUUGGCGGUGGUUUUUGAAAAUAUACUUUAAUCGAUUUUGUAAUCGGAUCUUAAAGUCGACCCGGCGUAACAUUAUAACAAUAUUAUAAUACGCGAAUGUUCGAUUUCGUCGUCGUUUACCGUAUUGCAAGAGUAAAAAAACGUCGUAAAACCGUUCUUACCCGUUUAUAAUUACGAUACCGAGAAUGAGUAAUUAUUGUAAGUAGGAAAAUAAUUCUCGGGUAUUCUGAAUAUAUAGCUAGAUAGUAUAAUCAUAAUGUUACUGGAAUGUAGUUUUUUAUUUUAUUUCGGGAUACCGUCGUAUUUCCGGUUACUAAAGGAAAGAAUGCUCGAAAACUUUCGCUCUGCGUCGGUAAAUUUUAUUAUAUAAAAGUUCGAGUGAAAAAAAAAAAACAAACAACAAAUGGACGGUUGACAACACCCCGAAGACGAAUUUUAAAAUGUCGAUUUCUAUAUAUUAUCCUUUUGUUUUGUCGGAAAAGACUAUUUCGACGGAUAAAAUGCUCCGCAGCGGCCUAUUGCCUAUGCGAACGGUGUAUUUUUUAGAUUCUGAGCAAAACAAAGAAUGUACUGGUUUUACAAUGAUGUUUAUUUAAUUUUUUUCUCCAGCAAUUUCGCUCCGAUUUACAACGAUAAAACUUUUUUCGAAAGGAAAUCUGGCUGCGGGUGGUACUUUAAGGAGGUAAUUUUUUGAUUUUCCCAAUAGAUGGGGAAAAAAACGUAGGAAAAUACUAAACAAAUAUUAUUAAAGAAAAUAAUAUGCAAUGCAUAUGUGAUUAUUUUACCCUAAUAUGACAUGUAUAUUUUUGACAAAGCAACACUAUUAACCGAACUCCGCUCAGAAUCGUUUUUCGUUUGCAAUAGUUAAUCUUUGUAUACAGAUAUAUAUAUUAAAUUUCCACCCGCGCGCAAAGAAUGUCCGUCUUUUUCAUUACUAUUAUUAUUAUUAUUAUCAUAUUGUUACGAUAAGAGAGGGCAUCUUCCCGCGUCGCGAUAGCUUGACUAAACGCGUCGCUGCAGACGUUAAAAAACCGUGGUAUUCGAAGAGGAAGACCGAGGAUGAGUACGGGAGUCGCAUCGUUUAGUGAAUGGAAUUAAUAUCCAGUGAACUGACAAGACUUGGCUUGUGAAUACGAGAUUCGAUCGUUCAUACAAGAAUGAAAAUCUCCCGGAACUGCAGUCCAGACGUAUCCGAAAUCUAUUAGACGAUAAAAAAACGUAUACGUUUUCGGUGAAAUUAUGAAAUUUUCAAAAACAAAAAGGAAAAAUUAUACGAAAUGCAGCUAUUAGUUGAAAAAUAAACGUCCUAAGAUAAUGGGGACAGGUGCAGCCACUGUUAUAGGUCAUUUAAUGUAUAACUGUAAGCAAUGAUAGACCAUUGCUUACGAAAAAACGAUUCUGAGCGGAGCUCAGUUUGUCCAUAAUAUAUAUGCCAUAUUAUAGUAAAAUAAUUAAACAGGCUCUAUAUAUUUCCUUUAAUAAUAUUUAUUUAAUGUUGUACCGAUUUCCCCGGUUUUCCUAUGUUUUUUUAAUUGCCGGUAGAAAAGUUGUCCACGGAAAAAAAAAAAAUUAACCCGCCCAAGUGGCGAGUUUAUUGAUAGCGAAGCAUCCACUGCAGUACUUCCUUACGAAAGGAAACCUCGGCGUACCAAUCGCAUCCUAGGUAGGACACAUUAUCACAUCUCAAAAACCAUAGUUUUGAGAAAAUUUAAUAUCUUCCCAAAUGGUUAGUUAUAAUAAUCUGUAUAUUUGGCGAAAUUGAUUCUUAACCAAACGCCAGAAAAUUAGGUUUUGAUGGCGGUUUAACAAUGUAUAGGAAUCCGAAUAUAAAAACUGCCACAUUCAGUUUGGUGUCAGUCUUCCGAUUCAAAUCGAAUAUUUUACGCGCGUAUUACGGACGCGUUGGUAUGGCUACGACUCGUUGUGGGCGGUCUAUCAUUUCGUAGAGAAAUCGUUUGCGAUUUUAAUGAUACCGACGAGUCAAAAGUGACAAAUUCUGAGUUGUGGCGGUCCCGUUCCGAGGGUGCGCUAUCGGAGACGAUAAUAUAUACAGAAGGAAGCGGCGCGGAACCGGCCCGAGCGAUAUUUCUGAAAUACCCGCCGAUUUCCAUAACGCGAUCAACCCCGAAAAUUAUCCGCGCAAAUCGAACCUAACCUCCCGCCGCCGCCACCCCCCCGUCGCGAUAUUAUUGCAAUAGUACAAUACGCGCGAUGUCAUUACGCGUGUACGGAACACACUCGUGUAUUAUAAUAUCGUGUUUUGUCGAUCGUAAUCGCGCGCGGUUCUCAUACCGGCGAGGGGGCGCGUCGGGCGGUGCGCCGCGGAAGACGAGAGCCGCGGGCGCAGUGUAUUCCGCCGCGAGUGCGGUGCGGACGCGGAGGUUUGGGAAAACGCGCGCGCGCUGCCGAUUUAUUCGCGACGACGACGACGACGACACGCGGGAGCCGGGAGUACGGCGAAGAUUUUCCGCGGCGUCUCUGUCUCUCUCUCUCUCAGUCCGCCGCCGCCGCCGCCGCCGCGAACAACGAUAAAUAUCGUUUUCUCGCUCGCUCGCGCGUUAUUUUCCCGUUUCACCGCGGGGAUACAGCGAUUUGCAUUUUCGGAAAACCGAACGGAACGGGGGCGCCCGCGGCUCCGCUCGCCCGGCGUUUGUUUCCCGUCGCGCCGUUUAACGUUUCGCCGCCGCCGCCGCCGCCGCCGCUAUGCGUCCGACUCCGUUCGCUCGUUAUAAAAUAAUAUCCUUAUAAGAGCGGGCGGAAGAAGAAUACGAGAUAAUACGCGGUAGACGGGAGACGGGUGGUCGUACGCGCGUGUAGGUACGCGCUCGCGCGCGCGCGUGUGCAUAAUACAAACUCGUUUGCAAUACCAGACGCAUUAGCAUAUAACGCCGCCGGUGUAAAAUCGGCCGGCAGAAGUUCGAAAUAAUAUUAUUAUUGUAAAACGUACGCUCCGUACACGCGCGUAGUAAUAAUAAUAAUAAUAAUACGAUAAUUUAUAACCGUGGGUACCGUGCCGUAUAUUACAGCGGUGCAUUAUAAUAUUGUAAAACCGAUGCGCUUCUCGUGUACGGGUGCGCUUGUGUACGCGUUUUACGGCGGGCGGCGCCGGCGUGUUUCGAGAAAGCGCGGCGGCGUGGUGCGUGUCGAGUUUCUCGCGUGACUUUUGAAGUCUGUUCGAUGCGCGCCCGGCCCGGGUUUCCCGCGCGUCUAGGCCGCGGCGAUUACGACAGUGACAUUUUUUCGUAUGAUCCAGCGACGGCCGCUAUACGGUAUAGCGGACUGGCGGCAGUGUGUUGGAUACAUUUGUAUCCUGUGCGUUUUGCAGUUGAUACAUUGUGUAUACUGUCUAUAGUGUCCAGAUUCUAAAAGGUCCUAAAACUAACUCCGUGCAUUGGCCAGAAACAGUAGGGGGGGGGCCUUUGAAGGAUUUCGAUUACCCCUCUUCCUCCUCCCGGUGAAAACUCCACUAAGCCUCAUAAAAUAAAGUGCUCGCCGAGUAAAAUACCAACAGUAAACACAAUCAAUAUUAUAUCGAUUGGGGCUUAAGCUCCCUUCCAAAAAUAUUUAGACUAUUUUUGCGUAUGAUUUUCGUGUAACGUUUGUUUUCGAUGAUAGUUGCCUUCCCAGCUAAGAGGAACUGCGCAGCACGCUUAUGAAUGCAGAACGUCUAUAGAGACGUUAACGGUCUGCAGUGGUGCCGCGUGAGCGGACUCGGUGGCGCGGCGAACGUUUACUAACGAUGACGCGUGACUUGUAUUUUAGCGAUCGCCCCUUUUUUUUUUUCAUCGUCGCCCGACCGGAGAAAGGUCCACGAUUAAAUUAACGGCAGACAAGUGAACAAGUUUGUUUUUUUUUUUCUGUGUACCCGUGAUCACGAGUAUAAGCAAACGCUUCAGCUUAGCUUCUCGUCCCCGUUUGUAGCGUCUACAGCGGUGUAAAAUUAUAUUGCCAAUAGCUUGUCUAAAAUUUGUUACUCGACAUUAAUUGGAUUAAUAUAUUCAAUUCGAUAAUUAACAAAAUGACAACGAAGAUGGACCGUAGCUCUCCAGAACAAAUGCCCGCGAUUACGUUUAUAAUUUAAUUACUCGACAAUCGACUGAAUAGUAUUAUUUACUACCAAUACGUUUGUUGAUAUUGAUUAUUACGAAAUACCAUCUAUAAUACCUAUUAUUUCAGUAGACGUUCUUCUUGCCAACAUUCUUAUCACCUUGAUGACUACAUAUAAGCGCCCCGAAAAUCCCUUUGCCACGCAACUAUCAGAACGGUGAUCAAUGUUUACAUCAUUUUCUUAUCGAUACAAUUCGAUCGUAACAUGAUGUUUUAACUACGUUAUCUUGUGUUCAAUAUUUAUUUUGGCCUCGUUGAUGAAUAUUAGUAUACAGCUGAAUACAGGAUUAUACUAUUCUAUUCGUAUAGUUUUCCGUGUCCCGUUUCAUCAAGUUUUGCUCUGGACAUCGGCGAAAUUUAAAUUUGUUUCAACGGAUAAGUUUGUUAAACGCGUCUCCUCGAGAAAUUUUCUUUUGUUGUUGACCCUUAAAUAUUUAAACCUGUAUUUUAUCGCCAAUAAACUUUAAAAAUAUCUAUUCCCGGUUGCUAAUUCGAAAUAUUUUUAAAUAUUUUAUGAUGUUUCUUAUUUUUCUUAAGUCGACUAAAUUGUCAAUUUUAACUGAACAUAUCGCUUGUGAUUGCAACUCCCGAAAAAGAAAUUGGGACAAAAUUAUAUUAUGUCAUUAGCACGUGAAUAUACUUACCUAUAUAAUAUAUAUACCUACUUUGCAAUUUUCUCCUUUGCUAUCGAACUCCUCUCCAAAACUAUUGUUUUCCGCGUGUACCGCAAAAUCGUGUUCCUUGUAUAUUACAAUAUAUCUAAUAUAUUAACGAUUUAUCAAACUGUUCUAUCUCCACUGUUGUCCUUAAUAUAUCGACCAGAGAAUAUAAUAUUCAAUUUUAACUAUAUAUACGUGGGAACAACGACCCCUGUUUAUGCUCGCGCGUGUAUCGCCACUGAUAACGUGGUAACGCUUGUAGUGAAAUUAUCCCGGGAAUGGAGAGGCCUAUACUAUAGACUGUGUACAGUAUUUUAAUUUAUAAGUGAAAUUUUAAAGUGUUUUAAGUUUUUUUUUGUUUUUUUUUUUUUGUCAAUUUGCACCGGCAUCUUGAUAGCGAUGAUGUAUACAUAAUUUCGUUUGCAACACAUUUACGUAUUUCAUAUGAUGUUUAUAUAGUGCAUUAAUUGAAAAGACGAUCUUUGAGAAGGGAUAUUAAAUGUUUUAUAAAUGUAUACGUUUUUUUUUCGACCACCGUGCACGCACAAUAUAGCAGAGACUUUAUGUACUCGCUUCAUAAUAUUAUAUACUAUCUGAACCGAGAGUAGGCUAAACAAAACAAAAACAACUUUCUAGACUAUAAUAUAUCAUAUAGGCCAAGGGUUGGUAAUGUUUUUUUGCAAAUCACGUUUACCGAAAAAAAAAAAAUAAUACAAACCAUACAGGUACCCUAAUUUAUUGUUUCUCGACCGAAAACUUAUCUAAAAUAGACGCCUUUGACCUACCUGACUAAUAUUUAAAUUAUUAUUAUCUGUUCUCUAGACCGAAACGUCCUGCAAGUCGAACGCGUGAAAACUUUCCGGGUUGCCGACCCCUGGCACUACGGCAGUAUAGCGAAGAACGCUGAAAUUCUACGUCGCCGAUACUGUUGAUGUUGCAUCGCUCGCGCAUAUGAAUGAGGUAAGUCCCGUUAAAUCUCUUUUUAUUCGUUCCGAUUUUUGAACUGUGACGACUGUUUUAUAUUUUCCGUUUCCGCCGACGGCGACGAUGACCGUAUUUAAAAGGAAGUGUUGUUGCACCACUGUAUACAGAUGUGCUGUUUCCGUCUUAUAUACAAACGUACAAUAUAUUCGCGUUCAGCAGCAACAACUUUUCACUGUCUGUUGGGUUUAAAAUUAACGCGAAUCGACCCAUUAUCAAACUGGCCGAUAAUAAAAUGAUCCGUACAACUACGUCGGUUAUUUUUUUUCUUUCGUCAUUUUAAUUUGCACGCGGGAUAUCAGUGUUGUGUAAAAGAUAUUUCACAUUUGUGAAAUGUGAAACACAUGUUUCGCUUUAAAAUCAACAUAUCGAGAGAAAAAUCUACGCAAGCGCUCGGAUGUUUUCAUCUUUAAGUUUGAUAAUAGAUCAACAUUCGUGUAACAGCAUAAAGUUGUCCCUGCUGAACUAAAAUUGUCUAUGUCGUAGGUACGUUUGUAAGACAGAGACAGUACCUACAUACCGGUAUCACAAUUUGGGAAAGAAUUUUAGAGUGAACAUUUUCGAACGUGAAAACUCCGUGUCGAAAACUCGUUUUAUCUUAAAACGAGCACAAAUUAGCGUUAAACAGCAUAUUGUAAUAUGUAAAUACAAAUAGAACAACACAUCAACACCUUUUUAUCUAUAUAGGGAAUAACUGCUAUUAUCUAUUUAGUACCCACUAAGCUUCUUGUCCGCCGUUGCCCGUGCCAAAAGAAAUAACAUUUAUUAUUCUGUUCGGUUUGUUUUGGGUAGCCCGUUAAUCAACUAAAAUUAUCAGAUUUUCGCACAAAAACACGAAUUAGUUCCUUUAGGAAUUGGAUUCAGAGAAUGGGGAGUAGCGUGUAUAUGUUAUUCCUGGUGGUAUCAUAGAUACAUCAAACCGUCCAAACAAACUUUUGCAUUCACAAUAUUAAGUAGGAUUAUUAUUUAAUAUAAUGAAAGUUACUACUUUAUUUUUUUUUUUAAUAUUUUAAAAUAAUGGCUCUCUUUAAUUUUCAAUAUCAGCUAGUUUCGUUCGAGUAAAUUAGUAAAUCAAAUACGUCAUAUUGUGUAUAAUAAUAUUCUUGCUUGUCUCAAGUUAUCAUAACGAAUAAAAGUUCUAAAAUCACAUUGAAGUGUACUGUACUAUCUGCAGUUUUACGUAGUGAACGUAUUUUUAAACAAAUUUCACGAUACAAUAAAUGAUUUAUAAAUACUUGAAGAAACUAUUUUUUCUUGUAACAUUUAUAUGAAAGUUAAUAUGAUACAAUUUCAUUUUUUUUUUUUUUCAUAAAUACCGUUACAACUGCUUUUAAGCUUCUCGUAAUGCGAAAGCUAAAUCGUCAUUUUAAUAUUUUAAUACAAUAUAUGAUUACAAUUGAAUUUUACAAUCAAAUAAUAUAAUAAUAUGCUAUUUCACACGUUCGUCGUUUUUUAAUUAUAUUUUUAUUGAUAAAUCACGAAAUCAUAAAUACAUUUGUAUAGUUAUUUUCCCACACCAUACAAAUGAUUGAAAAUACUUUUAUAUUAUGUUCACACGGCUAUACUAUUAGCAGUUUAAAUUAUCACUUUUUUUUUUUAUUCUCGUGUAAUUAUUACGAAUCGUGUGCACCGUGAAUACAUAAUAAAUUACUUGUGAUAUACCUAUUACAUAGCGAUUCGGAUAUUGUGCAUUUUGAAUAUAAUUAGUCAUCCGUGAAAAAAAACCCCGUAAUUUUCUCUUCCGUUUACUACUCGUAUCAGCCAUUACUAAUAAAUAAUCGAAUUAAAUUCCAUAUUUGUCUCUUUAUAAUAUCUUCAGUUUUCUCAUUUCUAAUAAUUUUCCAGGGUCAUGUUCUACAGCCUUCAGUUUAUCUUCCUUUGCCCCCAAAAACAUUUAUAUAUCGUCACUUAUACUAUAACAUGACAUACGUUUCCGAAAAUUGUUCUAUAAUUUUUAUUCAUUCGUCUCUCGUGGUUACGCUGUAAAUUACGAAAAUGAUAACGCCAUUUAUAUCAAAACCCUGUAUCAACAUAACGUAUUUUAGUCAAUGGCACGUGACAAUAGUGGCAUCGUGAAGAAAAAAAUACAUUCUUUGUGUGAAAUAUAUAAAUUAAACGUUACCAAUAUUUUUAAUUUAGUGAAAUUUAAUCAUUUAAGUAAUGUGUGUGAUCCUAUAAAACUGCAAAAACUAAGACAUGCGCUGUUGCUGUAUAAGCAAAGAUAUUAUUACUUGGGGUGUGGUGUGAUUUCGCAGGUGCAGUGCCCAUUAAACCAUAUAAAUAACACGUCUAUAUGCAUAAUAAUUGUCCUUUGUAGCGGCAAACUUGUGUUCAUCACUAUGUUUACAAAACAGUGCCCUCAUUUCAAUAUUCGGUAGAUUGCAAGGGCAAAUUCACCAAAUUUACCGACUUACGAAGAAAGAAGCUAUGUAUACUUACGUAUAGAACCCCAUUUUGGAUUUUAUGUUUUCCACGAUAUACUAUUACCAUUUAAUUCGUCAUUUGUUUGACAUAUUUCAGAAAUUUGUUUGACUUAUCCCAAAAAAACGAUUCGCCACUCACCGCACAUUAUUAUAUUAUUAGGGGAAAAACCUUAUGUUAUAGAUUAAUUAUUAUACUUAACGUUAUGAAAAUUGUAUAUAUUUUCGGUUUUUAUUGUUUAGCUAUUAAUAUGUAAUAGAUGUAUAUCUAUAAAUACAGCUAUAAAUAAAGUUGUACGUAUCAUACGAAAAAUUUGUGUUUAUCGUUAUUGUAGUAUUUAAAAGUUUUAUUUUACUAUAGUUAAAAUCGUUAGAAUAGGAGGGACUUUUAAAUCUCUCUACUUUCUUUGCUUUUUACUAGUACUUUUGUUAUGUGCAUAUGGGAAUCCGUUCCCUAACUAGAAACUAAUAAUUUGGAAUAAUUAUUACUAUACAGGGACUUAUUCCCUAAUUAUUAUAUUAGAUACCGUGGUAUCGUCUGUAUUGUUUUUUUUUUUUUUUUUAGAGGUUAGGUCAUACAUAUAUAUAUAUAUAUAUUUCGUAUACAUGCAAGUUUGUAGCUCGUGUAUAUUAUACGCAUAUUACAUAGGUAAUUUAAUAUUAUUAUUAAUAAAAUGAAAUAUACAUAUUAUAUUAUACGCGCACGAUCGUCAUAUAUAUAUAUAAUCUCCGCGAGAUUAAUUAAGCCCGCGGAAAUUAGGAUGAAGUUUUCACCGUGACAGUGUUACUCCGCGCCGGUGUAGUUAUACACACUGUGAAAAUAAUCCUUGCUCGCCGUCAACAAAGAACAUAAUAAUAUAAAUAUAUAUAUAUAUAUACGUAUAAUGUCUUGCGAAAAACUUAUGCGGGCUUACAUCAAACUUCAAUUCGGUUACGGCGCCGCGACAACAACGACAAAAGGUAUAUAAUACAAUUUAUAAAAGGGACGAGUGAGAGGGAGCGUGAAAAAAAAAGGUGUUUCGGAAAAGAACGGGAAGGAGUCGCGGAGAAAGCGAGUACAUGCCGCCGCCGCCGCCGUCGUCGUCGUUUGCCGUGCGCGGAUGAUUUCAGUUCUCUGUGGAAAUUAAACCCGACAGUUUUCGCGGAGUUCUUUUUCUUUAUAUACUGUAUACGUACACUUACGUUCGUCAAUAAUAACGACACCGGCCCGCAGUAGAUCACAUAAUAUGUUUUAUAUAUAUAAUAUAAAAAAAAAAGGCAAAAAAAAAAAAACACCCAAAGAAAACCGCGUUGUUUAUACAGACUUAUCGCGGCUGUGGCGUUCGCAAUGUGGUGUGGCACUAGAAAGUGAAUAAAAAUGACGUCUAUAUUCUUCCGCGGUCGACGAAGAACGAAAGCAAAAAAAAAAAAAAAUAUACCUAAACUUAUCUUUUCUCUCUCUGUCUCUCCCUGUCGAGGUCUAAAAGUGUUUCCAAUCCCUUUUCUUUAUCUUCGGCGGAGUUUAUACAUUUUUUUAUAUAUAUAUAUAUAUAUAUAUAUAUAUACACGGAUCCGUUGUUGAAUGGAUACAAUAUAAACUCGACGUUUUUCCAGAUAAAAUACGCUCUUUUAUAUUAUAAUAUUAACUUAUAUAGUAUAUGAAAAAAUAUAUACAUUUUUUUUUUUUUUUUUUUGGAAAUUUAAAAAUUACAAUAUCUCUAUGCACUUACCUACCUACCUGCCUAUAUACGCAUCACACGUCGCUUAUUAUUAUUACAAUGAACUCGCGCUUGAUUAAAAUCGCAUUAUUGUCCAAAUAUCAUUCAUACGCGGUUGUUUUUUAAACUUUUACCGAGACAUUUCUGUGAUAAAAGAAAAAAAUACAAAUACAAAUAUACAACAAUAGUAUAAUAUAGUUUUAAAUUUCUCUUUCGGUUUCGGCGUUAUUGAAUAGGUGGUUGUUUUUUUUUUUUUGUUCAACUUUAAAAACUACAAUAAUAUUAUAAAUAGGAGGUACCUUAUAUAUACGUGUAUAAGAAAAUCCAAAAACUUUGAGUGUGCAGCUCGUUAAAUAUAUUUUUCACUUCCAAUGUUUCGUGUCAUUCGGGAAUUUCAUAAUAAUAAUAAUACUUUUAAUUAAUUUCAAAGUCAACUUUAAGAGUGAGCGAGGAUGAGGGGAUGGGUCGGGUGUGAGUGGACGGACGUCCCCAAUUUUCCGCUUGUUUGCAAUUUUCAUAUAAUAAACCUACUUUUGAAAACAACGUCGGGUCAAAAAUAAAUUAGAUAGAAUAAACUUUCACCGUAGGUAUACGGAUCAUAACAGUAUCGUUUACGGCAUAGAUAUACGAAAAACAAAGUUUUGACGACCUCGUUAAACACACAAAGUUAUACGUUCAUGUAUUUUUUCGUUUUCGUUUUCGUUUUUUUUUUUUUUUUUUCAUAUUUGUUGUUCAUAUUUUUUGGCGUCUUAUUAUACCAAUGAAAUUGUCCGCGGUGACUCGAAAUUUUGUUUUCGCGAAAAAAAAAAAAAAAUGCUUACCUCUGCCGCCUUUAGUCCGCGAACCAUUAUUAUAAUAAUAUGUAAAUAAUUUACAUAAAACAAAAAAUAUAAUUUGCAUGAAAAAACAAACAUUUGAAUAUUAUAUAUUUCGAUAAGUAUUAUUGUUUUUUUUUUUUUUUUCAGACAAAAAAGCAAAUUAUUUCACAAAGAUGUAUUCCCUACCAUCCUCACAAAACCCACCCGUUUGGCGAGUGAAAAUAAUCCGUUUUUCUCCCGGUGGUACUUACGCCGAAAAACGUUCCUAUAAUUUCUCAAUGCGUGGCUUUUCUAAAAUAUUAAAUCAAACCAAAAAACUCGCUACGGGUACGUUCGUUUUAUUUUUGUCGAUUUCCGCGUUAAGCACCCGCCUAUUGUUUUCAGCUACGGGAGAGUGGGGGAACCCAAUUAAUACUAUCUAUACAUAUCCAACCUGGGUCGGUUUACUAAGCUCCGUUUAGAAUCGGUUUUUGAUUGCGACGGUUUUAUCGUUGCAGUCGGUAUGUAAACCUAGUUAUCCUCUCUGCAACUAUGUCCUAGCUUUUCUUUCUCCAAUUCUCACAGGCUGUAAUAAUAAUUUUCGUUUUAAUUUCUAUACCCACUGCGUUAAUAACAUUAUUAUUAUUACGAAACAACACCGCGUAAUUAUAGAGUAAUUUGAACAAUACGCAUUUGCCUAACGUAACUUUAAUGUUACGUAUAAUAAUUUUUUUCUGUAUGAACUUAAAAUAGUCGGUAUACAUAGACUGAUGCACAUAUUAUUAUAAUGCGCAUCGUCACUGAUAUAUUUUUAAAAAGAAAAACUUACUCGGCAUUAUAGGCGGGCAUGUCGUGUACACUUUUUAAAAACGCGUUUACAAAAACGAAUAUUAUCCGCGGCAUGUCUCGUUUGGAAAAUGAAAAAUUAGGUUCUACCUACUCUCUUAUAUUUUAUGUGCCUAAGUAUAUCUAAUUACAGGCCCGAAUAUUAUAAUCCCCUCGCUUAUAUAUUAUAAUACGCGUAACCCUUUUCGGCUGUUGUGUUUAUGCGUAUGCGAUUUUUUCGUCAGCUGACGUUUUGUAAAUCGCGAAUCUGUCACACGAACGAGAACCUUUCGCGUAUGUACAACUGCCCUAAUGUCCGUCAUUUUUAUCAGUUAUAAUGUAGCGUUUUACACACGUCGGAGAUGUGUAGGUAAUUAGAUUUGGAAAAAAAAAAGAUUGAGAGAGAGAGAGAACGGGCUCUAGAGGAUUUGCAGGUCGAGAGGUGUAGGACAACCGCUUGAUGUAAUGAAUAUACCAACGUAUCCGGCCACUGCGGGUUUGUGCAAGCAGCAGUGUUAAUCCGGCUGUUCAAAUGCUGUACUGCAGUUUAUCCUCGUGUUUAUAAUUUGUUCGCUUAUUUUUCGAAAUUCCUACGUCCUACCCCUGCUCGUUUUAAAUAAUAAUUGUAUGGGGGGGGGGAACGACCAAAAAGGACAAACGGGAUACAAGCUCCACCGCAUCACGAAGCCGAAUUUUAAAUUUCAAUUGUUCUACACUAUUGUACGACUAGCUGUCCGGCACGGCUUUGCCUGUGUCUGUAUGUAUUGAACGGAAAACAUAUUUUUUCGCGCGUUUCUCCGUGAAUACACUCCGUUUCCACAUUGUUCCUAUCACGGCAAACCGUUGUCCGUCAAUUCAUUUUUUUUUUUCUUGCCCCCGACCACCGUAAUAAUUAAUAAUAAUUGUGUCGCCGAGGUAACUCGUAAAUCAACAAAAAGAAAAAUUGUAUUUUCUUUCCAAAAAUCCUUUCUUCCCUACAUUCUUGCCCGCGAGACAUCUGUGAAAAUGUCGAGUUUCUAGACCCAAGGAUUCGGACAGUUGAUAGUCAAUUUAUUAUUUUAUAUACCUACCAUAUAUUUGGAAUACAAACGGAGACUCAUAUUAUAUUGAAUUUGAGACUUUCCUUCCUAGCAAAGUCGAGAACAAUAUUACUUUUAUCGUACAGACCAAUGUUCGUAAUAUCGCCAAAACUUUGACUUGGUGUUUUUUUUUUUUUUUAUCUAAGUUGUCAACUUUAACAUUGAUUUAUCUAUAUAUAUAUUUUUUUAUUUUUUUUGAAGAUCCUAAAUGUAACGUACCUAUAUCAGCUCCCAAAGCAUCAAAUGAAUCAUCCACUUUUAUGAGUUUGUAUAUCUAUGCUUUCUGUAUUGGAGUUUUUUUUCCCCCCCGUUCCGAUUGAAUUUCCUUUUUGAAUUUAGGUAAUAUAAAAACUUGUUCUGGGGUUGAGGUUUGUUAUUCAACAGAUUAAAAUUUGACAGCCACACUAUAGUGAUGCUGAUACAGACCGACGGGUAUUAACGUAUAUAAUACGUAAUUGAUUUGCAAGGAAUUAGACAAUAUGUUUAUAUAUUAAAAUAUUUAAUACACUAAAAGCAUAGCAUAGCAUUCGUAGUAAUUUGCCUUAAUUAGCAUAUAGUUUAAUUACACCGGGAUAUGUUUUUUUUUUUUGUUUUUUUUUUUGCUGUUUUUGUCUGUCCUCGACGUCGUGGAAGGAAACAAUUAAUUUGAUUUUUAAAUUUAAAAUUAAUCCAUAUGAUGCGAUGAAUGAAAUUAAAAAUCAGUUAUAAUAUUAUGAUGUAACGUACUUAUACGGAUAUUUCGGAUAUCAUAGUGAAAAUUCGACGCCUUCGAGAGCUAAUCAAAAAGUAUCGAGACUGAUAGCAUUACUCAUAAAACGAACAUUUAAGUGCAAUGAUUACAAUCCUACAGUAUCCAUUAGCUUCUAUGAUUUAUUCUGUGUGUCAUAUCAGUUUUUGUAGAUUCUCUUUAAACUCUUUCGUUUUGAUUUCGCCAUUAUUUUUGUCAAAAUGUUUUUCGUAGUUGACGGUUUUAUAAUGAAUCCUAUAAAACAGCGACAUAACGAACUUUUUAUGGAUUCGAGAUAAUUUUUAAUUUUUUUUUUUUCAAUUUCAGAGAAUUGCAACAUUUUACACGGCUUAUGCCAAAAACUUGUAACUGAAAAACUACAGAUGUGCCCAAUGGCAACAAAGUGUAUCCCAGGAAUGUUGACGUGGCUUGAAAAUAAUUUCAAAUUCAGGUUUGCAGCUGCUACUC